rnacentral:lncRNA from 1 species
UAAAAUCAGUCAUUUUUUUAAUCCAAUCUAAUUCUCCUCCUUUUUAUUAUAAAAAUUUAGAAUAUAUAUAAUUUUUAUAGAUAAUUUCCUAAAUUAAUAAAAAUUUAGAAUAUAUAAUUUUUAUAUAUAAUUUUUUAAAUAAUUUAGGUUGCAUGCCUGAAAUAUAAAUUUUAAGUUUAUAAUAUUAAUCAAAAGAAAGAUUUAUGGAGUUUAAAUUAUUAUUUUUUUAAUAAAUUUAGUGGCGAGAGUUGUAUGAAGUAUAAUAACUAAAUUUGUAAAGUUAAAUGCUACAUUCAAAAUUUAAAAUCAAAGUACUAUUGAAUUACUCAAAUCUACAUAUUAAAAGAUUGGGUAGAGAGAACAGAAUUUUGAAAGGUUAGAUAGCUAAUUCAAAAUGAUUCAUACUUCAAAAAAGUUCGAUACGUUUUUGCUUUGAUUUUAAUAUCAAAUUUUAAUGCCUUAUUUAUAAUAUGAUAAGCGAUCAACUUCACAUUUAAAUCUUCUAGAAUAUCCAAACCAAUGAUUAGUUGGCUUUUAAUUUCAACAAUUAGGCAUUCUAAAAUUUAUUAGAUAGUUUAACAGAUUAUUUUGUCGAAUAAAAUUACUAAUUGAAUAAAACCGAUAAAUGUUGAACCUUGUCUUCGUUCGGAAAAAAAUAAAAUAUAAAAAAAAUAAAUUACACUUUCUGUUCUCAAAGUAUAAGACAUAUGACACUUCAAUUCUCAAACUUUAAUGCGUUAUAAUUUUUGGGUCAAAACAAGUUUAAUAAUUAUACAUUUUAAUUGAUUGAAAUAUGAUCUCCCCGCUGCGAAGCGCGGGCCCUACACUAGUAAUACAUUUUUACAAGAAUAUUAUACUAAAAGCAUACUGAUUCACUAUUUUGAUCAUAUUUUUAUAUUUUUCAAAAAGAUAUCUAAAUUAUUAUUAUUUAAUUUAAAUUGAAUAGCGGUAAAAGAUGCGAGUAAAGUAGCGCAAUCAUUGUGGAUUCUUAGGUGGGCAGAAUACUAAAUUAUUAUGAAUUAUAAGAUAUUCGUAUUUUUACAUUCGAAGAUAGUCAUUUGUAGUCCGUUAAAACAAUAUGCUAGUUCUCAGCAAUCUCUCAGCCAAAGUAACUUGAACAGUUAAUAACAAAUUUGUCAUUCUAAAUAUUUAAUAUAUAAUAUUUUUAAAAUAUUACAAAAAUUGUAAUUUUGUUUUUUUUUCUGUUUUCUUUUUGUAAAAAGAGCAAAACAAGCUUUCCUUGAGAUAUUCGAAUAAAAAUUCACGUUUUAUUCUGCUUGUAAUUCCAGCCAAAAAUAUUUUGAAUAGAUUUCAACUAAAGCAUGGAAAUGAGUACUCAUAUAGGAGUCUAACAAUAUUGUCCUUAAUUAGUUACUAUUUACGCAGCCUAAUAAUUAUAUGGGUCCAAAAUUUUGUGAUUUUGUGAUUGUUGCAUGCCGAAUGUCCCGACCCUUGAUCCGGUCAAUAAUUCUCCUCGGGAAGAUCGUCGGGAUGCGAGACGGCUGCAGAUUAUGAUCCUUGAAGUAUGCGCCCACAGAGGAUCAAGCGAUUAGGCCGAUGAGGGAUCGAAUCAGCUGGGUUCGAAAACCUCCACAGUAAAUUCGCUUCGGCAGGAUGAGCCGAAUGGAGAGGGGAAGCCCAGAAUUCGACUAAGAAACGAGCCGAAUGGCCAAACAACUUGUGAUCUGAUCGGCAGAAAGAACCGAAGAUGACUUUCUAUUGAAUAGCAAAAGAAAAAAGUAUACAAACAGGGGAGUGAUGCCCGUAGGGCAGACAGACUUCAAGUAUGGGAACAGGGGAGUGAUGCCCGUAGGGCAGACAGACUCCGAAUAUGCUAAAUUAUAGGAACUACUCCUAAGGAAAGCAGUAAAUGCGAGAAUAGAAAGAUGCAGAAAAAUAAAGAUGGUCUUUUGUGCGCAGGGGCGAAGACCUUUUUUUCAGGGUAUCGUAUGCCUAUUUAUAGAACCGUCCUUGCGUUAGUUAUUGCUUUUGCACGAUCAACCACUAUCUCCUGAUUCGCAGGACUACCUUCGGCCGAUCGGAACCACUCGUAACUGCUUGCGGUUGUUAUAACUCCUCGGUCCAGUGCGGCUCGUGUGCGUCCGAUGUAUUCUAGAUCUUCGUUUUAGCCGUGGACAUGGACCCAGCGUGCCAGCUGUUCGCGCCUGACUGGCUCAACAGUGAUGUAAAUCAGAAUUUUUCAACUUUUACAAACCAUCAGAAGAAGUGGAGGAAUUUUGAGGACUAUAAAGCGUCGGUGGUCACGAUAGAUAAGAAAUGGAAUUAAUUUUAUUGUGCUCUAAUUCCUCUCACGCUCCGAACAACUCCAUUUCUUUAUUGAAACAAAUAUCAUAGGCCAGGGAAUCGAAUCUGUGUCGCGACAUAAUUUUAGCGAAUAGGCAAUUAGAGAGGGCUUGGACUCGAUCGGCUCAGAAUCGGGCCGAACCAUUCCCUGUCGACAUAAUUGUUUGCGAACCGGGGCCGAACCGGAAAAUUCAAACCUCCUAUUCUCUCCUCGCGUGGACGCGCACGUGCGUCCUCGACCACCUUAUCUGCGUCUCCCUCGUUCUCCCCCUCCUCACCCUUCGUUGCUCCCGCGACCCCGCGCUCUCCGCCAUUAAUGGAGCUCCGCUUAAUCGAUCCCCCAAACCCUCGUUUACUCUCAUCGUCGUCGUCGUCGUCCCCCUCCUCCUCCCUCUUAACCUUAUGGAGACGCAGAGGGCGUUCACUUCUCCUCCUUGUUAGGGCUCGGAAGCGGCGGAGCCCCCGCUCCAAUGGCCUCGGGGGGGAGCCGAAGAGGGAGCUAUCGCACAUUCUGAGGACGGAGGCCGCCGUGUUGGGCGUGGAGAAGAGGGCCGGAUCCGCCUCUUCCACGCGCCUCUGGCCCCGAGCGGUUCUCGAGGCACUCGAGAGCUCCAUCUCCGAUAACCGAUGGGAAUCCGCACUCGAGGUUAACCCUAAUUCUCCUGUUUCUUUUUCUUCGUUCCCCGUUGGUAAAAUUGGUUCCUUUCUGAAUUUGGGGCGAGUUUUAUCUCCUUGUGCGAGUAUUACUUAGUAUUUGAGUUGGGGAUUCAAUUAUCCCUUCACAAAUUUCUUGCAACUUACUGUAUGAGACAACAGUUUAAUACCAUUUUAAGAGCACAGAGUGUUAUAGUUGCGUUCAAUGUAUUAGUUCGUAAUCUCUCUAUCAUAUUACGGCCCUCUUUGAAUGUCAGAUACAUUAUUUGAUAUGAGAAUUUUCUAGUAUAAUUGUAAUUAAGGAGUUUGAUUUUUGUUUCUUCAGAGGUCUUGCUAUUCAUUAUUUGAUAGUAUAGCAUAUUCACGUAUGAGGUGAUUUAUUUUAUUAUGAAAAGAAAACUUACAGGCCGAAUAUGAUAUUCCAUUCAACAUAUUUGAUCAUACUCCUUAUUUACCAUAUAUAUAAAUUUUUGGAGUAAAUUAAGAAAAUAUAUUGAACAAGAUAUUCAUGCAUCCUAACAGGGCCUAAAUUUGUUGACUUUGGUUUCUUUGAAUUAUCCAAGCAUGCUUUAGCAUGCCUCUAAUUUUUAACACAUUAACAUUUGUCUAUAUGUGGGACUAGUUGGUCACUAGUUAAUGCUUGAGUUUUGCUUCUCUUACUUAUCGUAGAUCUUUGGGCUGCUCCGGAAGCAGCGCUGGUAUCAACCAAAAUCUCGAACUUAUGCGAGACUGUUGACGAUGCUUGGGAAGUGCAGGCAGCCUGAGCAUGCCACCUCGCUUUUCCGAGCUAUGCUUUCGGAAGGUGUUAAACCAACUUUGGAUGUUUACACUUCACUUGUAGGUGCGUAUGGUUUCAGUGGCCUCUUGGAGGAGGCGUUUCUUACCGUUGAUGAAAUGAAAACCAUUUCUGAUUGCAAGCCCGAUGAGUUCACUUUCUCGAUCCUGAUAAACUGCUGUUGCAAAUUGCGUCGCUUUGAUUACAUACCCACACUACUUACUGAAAUGUCUUACUUGGGUCUUGAAUGCAAUGUUGUUACUUACAAUAUUAUGAUAGAUGGAUAUGGUAAAGCUGGAAUGCUUGAAGAUAUGGAGAAUUCUUUGUUUGAUAUGCUCGAGAAUGGACGAUGCUUGCCCGAUAUAUUCACGAUGAACUCUAUUCUCUGGGCUUAUGGAAAUUAUGGAACAACAGCUGAGAUGGAAAAGUGGUACAAUGAGUUUCAGCUAAUGGGUAUUGAACCCGACAUCCAAACAUUCAAUAUCAUGAUUAAGUCCUAUGGAAAAGCCGGCAUGCAUGAAAAAUUGAGGUUGGUUUUGCAGUACAUGAAAAAACGCUUCUUUUCUCCGACUGUUAUAACCUUCAAUAUAAUUAUAGAAUGUUUUGGAAGAGCAGGGAAUAUCAAGGAGAUGGAAUACUAUUUUAGGUUGAUGAAGAUUCAAGGGGUUAAGCCUAAUUCAAUCACUUACUGCUCGCUGGUCAGUGGAUACAGUAAAGCUGGGCUUCUUGAUAGAGUUCCUGCAAUUAUAAGGCAAACGGAGAACACUGAUGUUGUUCUGGACACAGCUUUUUUCAACUGUGUAAUCAAUGCGUAUGGUCAGGCCGGAGAGGUGAAGAUAAUGGGAGAAAUGUUUGAGCUUAUGAAGGAGAAGAAAUGUAAACCUGAUGAUGUUACAUUUGCAACAAUGGUUCAUGCAUAUAAUGCUCAAGGCAUGUAUGAAGCCGUUAAAUUGUUGGGGGAGAAGAUAUGCAGGACAGAAAAGGAAGCUUUGGUAAAAAUUUUCUAAUUCUAACUGACUCAAAUAAAGGAGCUUGAUCGUGCCAAACUAAUCUGUUGACGUUCACAUUAUUACCAUUUUUAAUAGGUUGGUUUUUUUUAUUAUCCUUUGUAUAUAUUGAUUUUGCUACUAAGGACACAUGGAUUCUUAAAACUAAAGGAUUUUUCUGAUGGAGAAGUACUUGUUAUAUAGGCACCAGGUUGACAAGAAUCCCAUCACAAACUGGUCUUAUGAAUAAAACUCGUCUUUGCAAGUAUCAACGCUGGCACUAGCACAGAUAUACGGCAAUUUCCUCUGGUACACUCUGUAGAGGUAAGCUCUGCUUCUUCUAGCAUUCUUUUGACCUCUCUCUCUCUCUCUCUCUCUCUCUCUCUUCAUUGCUUGGGGCCUGUUGGCAUAUGCUGCUCAUUUCUGAUAUUUUUGUUUCCUUCUUUUAUUUGUGAAAAUUCUUAACAAUGAUUACAUUUGAAUUGGCUCCCAGAUUUCCAGGUGGGAGUGUUAGCAUAUCUGUGAAUUUUUUUUCGCUUUAAGUAAUGUUUGGGCAUCUGAAAUAUAUCAUGCAUGGAUUAUUUCCGUGCGAGAUAUUACAAUAAAGGAAGAUUGAAAAGAGGAUAUCGAGGAAGACGUGCUCAUCCAACAUCUAUUCUUUUGGUAGGACUUUGUAAUGAUAUUCUUCUCUUACACUCUUUAUUUCAUGCAGAGAUCUUCUUGCAAACAUUUUUCAGUUUCCUCCUGCUUAUAUCUGUUGUUUUCUCCUUUUGGAUGCAGUUGUACGUUUAUUAAAAAUGAAGAUAUUAACCAAGAAGCAGGUGUUGAAAAAAGUGAAUGUUGGAAAUUCUCUCUGAACUUGUUGAAGGCUAGUAAGUCAAUGAAGGAAAAAAAAUUGAUUGCGAGGGAGAACAAGCAGCAGAAACUUAAUUCAGCAGUUCGAUAUAUGUUUUCUCACUCAUUGGCAUUGAUAAGAUUCUUUGUUUUAACAGUACCUUAGGAUGGUAGAGUCUCACGCCCUAAUUGAUGGUUCCAAUCCUCCAGCUCGGCCACCAUGUAAACUUUGCUCUCUCUUAUAAUGUGCAGGUCUUACACCUGUUUGCAUUAAAAGAAAAAUGAUGGUUCCAAUCCGGCAGUCCAAUCAACUUUGAAGUCAAAUGACAAUACGAUCAACAAUUCGUUUGGUGGUCGUCCCUGCACAUUCCUAAGAAACCAAAUGCACUCUUGGAUUCAGAAUAACAGUUCUGUCCGCAGAUUCUAGUUCGACAAGAAUCAUAAUUUGAAUGAUUUACCUUUUUGUAUGUUUUGAUUGCAAUUAGGGGGUGAUGAUGAUGUGUUAAGGGAGAAUGUGGUCAAUGUGUGGCAACUGGCUGCUUUCUUUCUUUCUACAAUUAAUCCUUCUAGGGUUAUUUUCUCCUUGAACUAGAGCAUCAUAAUUUGCACAUAUUCGAGUAGUGUAAUACCCAGCUAUUAAAUUGUUCAAAUCGAUCAUGCUAGAGUUCAACGUGUUCCGUCUAUUGAUGUUUUUUCCUCAAAUUUCGCUCAUACGCAUCGUCUGUGCAUUCGAUUAACAAAUGCGAGUUGAAUCAUUAGCCGGUGCUGAGAAGCAUGAUAGAUCUAUAUCUGCUUUGUAAGUAUCCUUUGAGUAGCUGUACUUUCAAAGUGUUUCUUUUCUCCUUACUCCUUUAUUCGUCUUAGAAAUGUAUUUGACUUGUCUGUAAACUUUUCAUUUACCUGACUUGUUUAACUUUCUUAUAUGUUUCAAUUAUAUUCCUACCAAACUAUUGAAAAACAGACUUGAUUGAUGGGCUGCAUUUGGUUGCCUUUUUGUAAUACAAGGUUGGAUUUGGCGAGAAUUUAUUGCUAUUAGCUAUACUUUAUCAGUAAUUCUAACACAUUCCUCCUUAAAUUAGUUGUAAUAUUAUUAUUAUUUUUUUUUACAACGUAACUGAGGAUAGAAUGAAAAAAGUAUUUAUAUUGAAAUGGUUUUCUAUUUUUUUGCUAAAUAACACAAAAGAAUUUAGUUGAACUCCAAUUUAAUCGAAAGAAAGAAUUUUAUUUUAAAUUAUAUUCAAAAAGAAUUAUCUCGACUGAAUUUUGUUGAAUUAUAUUUAAAUUUGGUGCUGAACGGAGUGUUCGUUAGGAUGCAAUUGCAAAAUAUGAAAAAGUUUAAAGAGUCUUGAAUUUCUUGAACAAGUUCUUUUUUGCAAAAAAAAAAGUUCGCCAAAAUUAUUACAAAGUAAAUAACAAUAUUGUUGUGAGUAUCCGAUAUCUAUCCAUUCACACACACAUUAAAAAAAAAAAAGUAAGAUCAGCAUAUAGCUUUUCCCAACAUUUUAAAAUUUGGGUCUACUCUACAGUUCAAUUCUUUGAACCGGAUAAGUUAAAAAUUUAUUUUGAUGUGUUCGAAUCAGUGGUUCAAUCAGUAAAUCAGUGAACCGGUUUUGUUCUGUUCAAUUAGUAAAUCAGUGAACCGGUUUUGUUCUAGACAAAUCAGCUGAAUUUAUUUAUUUAUUUAGGAUUGAUUUUUUUGUACAUAUUUUAGUUUCUACUAUGAAAAAUAAAACGUGAAAAAUUGUACUUACUUAAUCUGAUCUAAAUAUUAAUAUUUAUAAUUAAAUAUGAUAAUAAAUAAAUAAAUAAACAAAUAAAUAAAUUAAGUAUUUACGACGUCACGUCUAUGUUAUUGGUCCAACCUUGUUGGACCCAUUUUUAAAACAUUGCUUUUCCUCUCCACCGCUUUGAGCUCCUCUCAAAUUUUCAUGUCCUAAAGCGUGAUAUUUAUGUACCAAGUGCUACCCCCAAGAUCCAUUGAAUUUUAUUUUCACAGUUCUCUCUCCAGAUUGAUAGAAGCUUAAAAGAAAAGAAGAGAAAAUUGGGAAGAAGUCUUCCCCCAUAAAAGAAGUUAAAAGAAAAGAAGAGAAAAUUGGGAAGGAGGAAAAGGGAGAGUAGCGGAAGCGAAUGGAGCGCGGGACGCGGACGCGGACGCGGGGGCAGACGGCCGACGAGGUGGCGGCGAUCCUGCGCAAGUCGUGGUACCGGCUCCGGCUGUCUGCGCGGCACCCGGCGCGCGCGCCGGCGUGGGACGCCAUCGUCCUCACGGCGGCCAGCCCGGAGCAGGCCGCUCUCUUCGACUGGCACCUCGCCCGCGCCCGCCGCUCCGGCCGAAUCCCCCCCUCCACCGCCGCCCUCGCCGUCCCCGACCCCGACGCCGCCCGCAUCGGCUCCGGCGCCGCCACCCUCCACGCCCUCUCCGCCCUCGCCCGCCACCUCCUCUCCCCCUCCCAGGUCCCCCCCUCUUCUCCCAACAAUUAGGGCUCCUCCUGUCGCUACUCUCCCACGAUUCUCGAUUCUUCCUGUAGAAAUGCAACGAAUCCGCUCUGGUUAGGGUUUAGGGCUUUUUUAAGGCAUGAAUCUCCCUCAGGGAGAGAUGCUUUAGAUUUCAAGAUCUUUUCUAGGGUUUGGAAUGUACCGGACUCUUUCGCCUCGCUAGGUUCGGCGCGAAUCUUGAUUGAAAGGUGAAGGCUAGAUGUAAAUUCAAAAAGUUUUCUUGCAUUUGGCUGAUAGUAACUUCUUCUUGGCUCAAUCUAGGUAUGACAUGUAAUGCUUGCUAACUUUGAUCAUGUGUGUGUAGUUGUUCCCUUAAAGAAGUGGCCUUGGCGCCUUCCGCCUUUUUGUCAUUAUGAGAAUGACAACAAAGAAAUGCUUUGGGGAACUUUUACUUCUCUGGUUUCGUCCAUAUUGUUUAUGUGAAACCCAUUGUUUUGUAAUUUCUUCUUUGAGUAAAUAUCUUUUACCUAUAGCAGGUGCCAGACGAUGAGAAGGGCACUUUGAUAACUUCGGAAAAUGGCAAUUCUGAUGAUAACAUCCUUCUCACCUCGAUGUUAAGCGUAAUGGCGAAGAAGCAUAUAUUAUUACUUCAUGCUGGAGGAGACUCUAAGAGGGUCCCGUGGGCCAACCCGAUGGGGAAAGUGUUCCUACCACUGCCGUACUUGGCGUCGGAUAAUCCGGAUGGGCCUAUUCCGUUGCUUUUCGAUCAUAUUCUUGCAAUUUCCUCUAGCGCAAGGCAAGCUUUUAAGAAUGAAGGUUAAUAGAGAUUGAUCUUUCCCUGACAUCUGUAAUAUUAAAAAUUGGUUUUUGCCUUUUAAGAACAUCAAUUGCUAGUGAAAUUAUGUGAGUUCCCUUCUCUGCAUAUCUAAGCUUUUAGAGGGCCGUAUAUGGUUUGAGUUUAUCAAAUCAGCGCAUGCGUAUAGUUUAACCAUUUGAUUUUAGAUUAUAAGCCAUCUUUUCAUACAUCUUGCAUGCUAAGUGAAUCAUCUAAGCGGAGUCUAAUCUGUUGCUAAAAUAUUUAUUAUAACUAGCUAUGAAAUCUAGUUUAAUUGCUUCUUUUCUUUUUUUUUUCCCUCUCAGUUUAAAUUUAUCUGCACUGUCAGCUGCUUUUCUGUUGAUAUGCUGCUUUAGUGUGAGGUUCACUAACAAGACACAUUUAGUAAAGAUUUAAGUUUAGUCUUUUGAUAUAAUAUUUCUGCUUUUGUUCUUUACAUGUUAUAGUGAUUCCUUUAUUUAAUUUGCUGGGGCUUUUUUUGCAUUUGGCCUCAAAAUUUUUUUUUUUACAAAUAACCCCACCAAAUUUGCUGUCAUAAAUAUCACAAAGUGUUGCAUCAUUAAGCAGUUAAUCUUAUUACAAGGUGAUUUCCUUGUUCAGGUGGGAUAUUCAUAAUGACAGGAGAUGUGCUGCCCUGUUUUGAUGCGUCCAACAUGAUUCUUCCUGAUGAUGCUUCUUGCAUUAUCACAGCCCCAAUCACAAUGGAUGUAGCGUGUAAUCAUGGUGUUAUCAUAGCAGCAGAAGAUGGAAUCAAGGGUGAAAAUUAUUCACUUUGCUUAGUUGAGAAUCUUCUGCAAAAGCCAACAAUGAAUGAGAUGCUGGAGAGCCAUGCUGUUCUGCCUGAUGGGAGAGCACUGCUUGAUACAGGGAUAAUAGCAGUGAGAGGCAAAGCAUGGGAAGAACUUCUUCGCCUAGCCUGUUUGUCAAGUCCGAUGAUAAAGGAUCUUAUCACUUGCAAAAAAGAGGCAAGCCACCAUUAUUCGGCAUUGAUAUGCGAGCUGUAACAGUAGCAAGUAUAUAUAUUCAUUAUCUGUUGGCCUUUUGGCAUUAGUGUCUCUAAACAUUCUAAAUCGUCGGUUUAGGAUGCAUUUUGAGUGAAUAAUUAGUUGAUAGCUGAUACCAUUCUUUUGAGGAAUAGGGACCUUGCUCGUAUACCUAGAAAUCAGGCUACUGUGCAUUCUUAUUUAGUUCGAGUAACUGAAUCUCCUGUUCUUAAACUACGCUGCAUCAUGAUAUUCUUAUUAGUUGAAUUCUUUGGCAUCAUAUGAACAUUUAAUCCUUUGUCAGGGAACUUAUUUUUUUUUUUAAAUGACUGCAGAUGAGUUUAUAUGAAGAUAUGGUAGCAGCAUGGGUACCUGUAAAACAUGAAUGGUUGAAAUCUCGCCCCUUAGGAAAGCACCUUAUAGAUGCACUGGGAGCUCAGAAAUUGUUCAGCUUCUGUUCUUGUAUGUCCUAUCUAUAUAUUACCAGCUUCAUAUGUGUCUAUGUUUGAUUAUUAGUUUCCAAUGAUUUAUCCUGGAAUAUGAGAUUAGACUCUACGUAAAAUUUUAAAAAAUAAAAAUAAAAAAUAAACUACAAAAACACUGACUUAUACAACACUUUUACCUUUUUUAACUCUGCAAUGGAUCUAUAGUAACUAGUUUUCAUUAGUGUUAGUAGAGCUAUGGAGCAUGAUUCUGACAGGUUGCAGCAGGCAUAGACUGAAAAAAACAGGCAUCUGCCAUUGUUUAUUGUUCGAGUACUCUUAUGUUUUAGUGAGCAUUUUUGUGUGUCUAUUACCUUUGAGGGAAGUGUCUGACACUUUUGAGGUCUGUUAAAUUCUCAGGUGUGUCCAUUUUUAUUCUCUUUGGGUUUUGGUGCAGUCCAAGCAUGAUUGAUAUCAAGUUUGAGUUGUCAAUUCUUUCAUUGUGCAAGUUUCAUUUGUUAUGAAUUAAUUGGAAUGACUUGGGUUUGUUUUUUGUUACAUCUGCAUUAGGCAUCCAUAUUUUGUAUUUGGUCUUAUUUUGGUAGGUCAAAUUUUUGUAUUUCUGAUCCAUAUUUUUGUAUUUGGUCUACAUACUCCUUCUAUCUACUAUAUCAUUCUUUCUUCUACUACUUUGACCUACAUCAGUUUUUGGUGACAUGAGAAUUUUGGUCUUAUCACUUUUCAUUUUAUAGGGUUAGCAAGUUCAUAUAUGAUUGGACAUUUAGUACUACUUUUUUACUUUGCAGAUGACUUGUCAUUCUUGCAUUUUGGCACUUCUAUCGAAGUUCUUGAUCACUUAGGCGGGCCCAAUUCAGGACUAGUUGGUAGGAGGCAUUUGUGUUCUUUACCAGAAACCACUGUCUGCGACAUUGCUGCGACAGCUGUUAUUCUUUCCAGCAAAAUUUCACCUGGGGUUUCGAUUGGAGAGGAUUCUUUGGUUUAUGAUUCAUCACUUUCAGGGAGAAUACAGAUAGGUUCACAAUCAAUCGUUGUUGGAGUUAAUAUACAAGGAUUGAGCCAAUGUGAGCAAUCUGGAAAGUUGGUUUGCUUUAUCUUACCUGACCGUCAUUGUCUUUGGGAAGUGCCUCUGGUAAAAUCAGUGGGGAGAAUUCUGAUCUAUUGUGGACUCCAUGAUAACCCAAAAGUUUCACUCGAAGAGAAUGGGACAUUUUGUGGCAAGCCAUGGAGAAAGGUCUUAUCUGAUCUUAAAAUUGACGAAGCCGACUUAUGGGGCUCUUCGACUACUCAACAAAAGUGCCUCUGGAAUGCGAAGCUAUUCCCUGUUGUAUCUCCUGUUGAAAUGCUUAAUAUAGGAAUGUGGCUCAUGGGAUCGACCUACAAUAACCAUAAAGAAAUGCUUUCAAUAUGGAGAAAAGCUCACCGCGUCAGCUUGGAGGAGCUGCAUCGUUCAAUUAAUUAUCCUCAGCUUUGCAUUGAUUCAAGUAACCAUCAAGCUGAACUUGCUGCUGGUAUAGCUAAAGCUUGCAUGACUUAUGGUUUGCUUGGGCGUAACCUGUCGGAAUUGUGUGAGGAGAUCUUGCAAAAUGAUGCCUUUGGACUAGAAAUUUGUAAGGAACUCCUUGGACUUUGUCCCAAUCUUGAGAAACAGAGUGUUGGUAUUCUUCCUCCAAGCCGACAAUACCAGGUGCAGGUUGAUCUUCUUAGAGCUUGUGGAGAUGAAUCGGCUGCUGUCCUGAUGGAGCAGACUGUGUGGGCUGCAGUUGCUAGUGAGACUGCAUCAGCAGUGAAAUAUGGAUUUGAAGGUACACAAAAUUAUUAAUUUCUACAAUUGCUUAUGAAAUGUGAUAUAAAUCUUAUCGAAGAUCGGAUAAAAUGAUGCAGGGACUAAAGCCUUAAGUAAUCCAGAUUUGUAGCUAUUGUAGUUAAGUUUGUCUGGAGUUAUACCCCUCCUUUUUACGUUUUUUGAGUUGCCCUCCUUUUGUUUUCUCAAGACUUUUGUAUGGGUUAUUGCUAAUUAUUUUUUGAUAAAUUUUAAAAUUUUAUGAAGAUAAUGUGUUCGACUCAACUGAUGGGACAAACAGUUCAUCGAGUCUCCUAAGGGAUCCUAAUGGAAGCAUUUUUCAACUGAAAAAAGCUAUUGUUGAGUUGCCAGUUCGGGUUGAUUUUGUCGGUGGUUGGAGUGAUACCCCUCCUUGGAGCUUGGAACGUCUAGGAUGCGUUCUAAAUAUGGCAAUAACUUUGGAAGGAUCCCUUCCAAUUGGCACUCUGGUAGAAACAACCCAGAACUUUGGUGUUUCAAUUGUGGAUGAUGCUUCAAACCAUGUUUAUAUUGAAGAUCCUGCAUCAAUUUCAGCUCCGUUGGAUAAAGAUGAUCCAUUUCGACUCGUAAAAUCUGCUCUUCUUGUGACUGGUGUACUGCAUCACACAAUAUUGUUGGAAUCAGGUUUACACAUUAGGACGUGGGCAAAGGUUCCCCGUGGCAGUGGUCUUGGAACUUCUAGUAUACUGGCUGCUGCAGUGGUGAAGGGGCUUUUGCGUCUCAUGGAAGAGGAUGAGAGUAAUGAUAAUGUUGCUAGAGUUGUUCUGGUUUUGGAGCAAAUAAUGGGGACAGGUGGAGGAUGGCAGGAUCAAAUUGGAGGUCUAUAUCCUGGCAUUAAAUGUGCACAAAGUUUUCCAGGACAACCGCUGCGACUGCAAGUCAUUCCUCUAGCAGCGUCGCUUCAUUUGGUGCAGGAAUUAGAGCAGCGCCUGCUCGUGGUUUUCACUGGCCAAGUAUGUCAGCAAAUUUGUCUGAUUAGACAAAACAGUUGUCUUUUAUUUUUGCUUAUAUGAAUCAUAUAACUUCACAAAAUUAAGUUCAUUAAUAGGACUAGCUGAAGCUCUUUUUUGUUGGCGCUGAAAUUUAUUGUUAGCAUCUAUUGUGUAUUUAACUCAUUUUAACAUACCUGUUCUUCUUAGGUCUACAAACUUGUACUCCGUUGUGCACAAUAAAUUAUUAACAAGGAAAACAUGUCAACUUUACAAAGAGGAUUUACGUUCCCUUUAUAUGUGUACAUUCGUAACUUUUUCAAAGCAACUAUAGAUGCAGGCCUUGAAGUGUAAGGUUUUGGAUUUUAAGUUAGUAAUGCUGAUCUUAGAAAAUUCCUUGAGAAUGAGAACUUAAAUGAUAUUCGUGAUUUCUGACAGCAUAUACUGUAGUUAUUCGGAAUAAGCUGUUAUUUGAUGGAACUUGGGGGAGUCUGAACUCAUUUUUCCCUUUUUAAAAUGAUUUGUUAGGAGAAAAAUAUUUAAGAUGCUUUUGAUGUCCUGUCUUAUGCAGUGGCAAUUUACGCUUCAAAAUGCCUUGUAAUAUCUAAAUUCACAGCUCCAAACAUAAAGCAAAAUUCCGUCAGUUUAAUUGUGGAAUUUCCUUGACCAUUGUGUUUGUACACAGGUAAGGCUUGCCAAUCAAGUUUUGCAGAAGGUAGUCACACGAUAUCUCCGACGCGAUAACCUCCUCAUAUCCAGCAUCAAGCGUCUCGCAGCUCUUGCAAAAAUAGGAAGGGAAGCCUUGAUGAACAAUGACCUAGAUGAGCUCGGUCAUAUAAUGUUGGAGGCAUGGCGGCUACACCAGGAGCUGGAUCCAUACUGCAGCAACCAAUUUGUGGACAAGCUAUUCACUUUCGCCGACCCUUACUGCUGUGGCUACAAGCUGGUCGGUGCAGGGGGAGGCGGUUUCGCAUUACUACUUGCUAAGGGCCGUCGUCAUGCACGAGAACUAAAGCAAGCGCUCGAAGAGUCUGAAGAUAUCAAUGUGAAGGUGUACAAGUGGAGCAUAUAUUCACCCUGAUGUGAAUUUUGUGGGAUAUAUUUGGUGUUGCUACUCUAGCUGUGUAAUUUAUAAUCUUGAAAUGAUUUUUCGGAACUACCGUAUUUAUCAGAGAAUGGUGGCAGCAGGUGGCAGAGGCUUUGCUAGAAUUGCAGUUGAGUAUUCUUCAGGCCUCUCUUUCAUUCACCUAUGUUUACGGCGUCAAACUGCGGUGUUCAUGUUUUGUAUAGACUAUACCAAUAUGAUGGCUAGUUACUAUGUACGGUUAAUGAUAUACUAAAAGCAUUUCAUAUGAUUUUUGAAUUGGAGAUGAUUUACCGAUAUUGUAACAUAGGAGGUUAUUGUUGUAUUGUACACCAAGAUGCUGAUUGAGAAGGAUGUUAAAAAGUUUAUUGUAUAUUCAUGUCAUUUUCUCAAGUGAUCUCUCCACCAACAAAAACUCAGUUUGAAUCUGAAGAGGUGAAUUCGACUAUGGCAUCCACAAUUCUUGGUACAACUACAAAGACCACAAUGUGCCAGUCAACAAGAUUUCUUCUUUUAAUUCCCAUUUGCGACCCUCUUCUGGGAAUGUUCAGGGCCUAAAUGAUGAGGUAAUCCACUUCCUCAUUUUCUGAAAAUUAUUCUUUUGUAGAAUGCUUUCCCAUUUUGUACUGCGAUUACUGUCAGAAAGCACUCAGCCUGGAUAGUUUUGCGCACAAAGUUCUUAUUAAAAUAAUAUAUCAAGAAACACAUGCAAUCAGACCAACUCACGACCUGGGUACGAGAUAUCGUGCAAUUCUGUAGUGCAUGAAAUUCUUGUGCAUAGGUGAUCUUGUCGUUCUCGAAGGAAUGAUUGAUUGUCAAUGGUUAACUGAAGAGAGAGAUUCAGCAAGUAAGAUCAACCCUACUUUUCGUGGCUGUCAGAUUGACCAGUGUUUAAGAAUUUCUUGCGCACUUUAUUGCAGUUUAUAGAAAUGCCAUGUAUCUUUUUGACGAAAACCAUCAAGUUUUAACGGAAUCUGUUUCAGAAAUAAUGUAUACUGUAUGCAGGAUAGUCUUAUGUCAAACAAAACAACAUGUAAAUUGAGGGAUUCAUAUAAGAGUAUAAACAAAAAAUGCAUAAUCUGUUUUCAAAUAACAUAUAGUUAGAGGGGCGUUCAUACACGUUUCUCCUAAUUUCACAUGUACAAAGCGAAACACCAUAUCUGGUUUCAGCAAGGAGCCUCUAAAUUUCAUUUGUACGACAUUAUUUCCUGUAGAUAAGAUAUGGGAUUUUCCUGAAUAUCCAACAAAUUAGACCUCUUGAAGGACUUUCUCUGAGUUGCUUAUGUUGUUCAUUUUUUCAGACUUUUCAUCGUCAGUAGGAUCGUCAAACUUUGCCAGUCUAGCUAAAGUUUCCACAGCAUUUACGGCCCCUUCAAUCCUUGAUGAUAUUUCAAUCAAAAGUGAUGCUACUGUGAUGAGUGGAAGAGCUUCCAUUAGCGGCAAUGUAGCAGUAACUGAGAUGGAGUGCUUCUCAUCUGAUGCUGCUUCUCUUUGUGGAGAAGCUGUUCCUUGUAUUAAUUGACUGGGAAGUGCUUUUAAAGCACUCUGGAGAUCCUGAACUGCUUCAUUCAUAUCUGCCACUAGGAGAUCUAUCCCCUGAGACCUUCUCAUUGCCUUGAUUGAGCUUGACAUAUCUUUCAAGACCAUUGAGCACUGUGAGCUGAGUCUCAUGCACACAUCACUUAGAUGCUUCUUUAUGGAUUCAGGUGCCUGGCAAAAAAUUAUCAGUGUUAGAAACACUUGUGAAGCUGUGAUCUUCUAUGAUCUUUGAGAUUGAGGUGAAAGUUUUAUGAGGGGCUUCUCUUAAAGGAUCACUUUUUUUUAUUUAUUUUUUGAAAAGACAAAUAGUUAAAUGGUUGGAUUUAAUUAGUACUUGACAUGAGGGACACCCAAGUGCUCCUUAUGGAACAAAAAGCGGUACCGCAGGCCUAGAAACUCGUUUUAAAAGCUUUAUUUUUCAAAAUAGAGAAGCUAUUUCAGAAGUUAUGCCAAACAGGUUAGUAAACUUCCACGCUACCUGAAUCUCUGAAUUGAUGCAGCCACUGAGGGCUUCUAUGCAGUAAGCACAGUAUCUCAUCGCGGCUCCAACCUUCUGAUACUGACUCCAGGGAUGCCGAAAGCCGAAGCGGCCAUGCGCCGGCUCCCAUCUUGCUAAAUUGGCCUGUGAAUCCUCAGACGCCUUCGAGUUAAGAACGCACUUGUAGCCCUGCGACUUUUGUGAGGGCGAAGUGCUCUUUGGAUCGGCAAUCCGGUCCUCGGUGAAGUAAUCUUCAACAGAGCCUGUUUAGUUGGAUUUGAACAGAGUUGGUGAGUUAAGAAUUCGGCCUUUGUUGAAUCUAACACUACAAAAUGUGCGUAAUUUCACGAUGUUGCUAUUCAAUUCCUGAACUCCUCAUCGGAACAAUUUAGUUUCUGAAUUUUGUGUAAGAGGAAUGAAUGAACAUACCCUCCAAGGAAUCGGCGAGCUUUUCCAUAUUGCGAACGAUGAGAAGGUGCAAUUCUUGGCCGGCCCAAACCGGGCAAAUCAAAACACAAACAAGGAGGCAGAUGCAGAUUCCGAUGGCGAUGGUCGACAAGCGCUGCUGCGCCAACGUGAGCAGCUGCUCCACACGGUACCCCGACACUGCAACCAAGCUGUAGGUGAGGAUGAAUAUCGUCACGCCGUAGUCGAAUCGCGCUUUUACCGUCGGUAUGAACCGCGAAAAGGUGGCGGUGGAGGCUGAGCACAUACAUGUCAAACAAGGUCAGUGAUUUUAAUCUCAGUUGUUAUACAGUAACUACUGUAGUUUAGAUAUCCAUGUAAUUAGAGUUUUGUUUAAUACCUAGUAGAAAAACUGAGGCACCGAGGAUAACAGGCUCCACUUUAUGUCCCGAUUUCGCCGCGAUCCAGUGAACGCCGAUGGCGAGGGCGCCGGCGCUCAAUGUAGCAGUGGCUCUGUUGAAUCCUUUGUACAAGCACCCACCUGCAAUAUAGAAAACGCUUGUUACAAUGUUUUUGCUUUCUCUAACCAUUUAUUUAAGUGCGCGCACUCUUUCGUUCUACUAUAUUUUGUGAAAUAAAGUAAAAUGAGCAUCUCUUCGUACGCAUUAUCUAUGGAUAGAAUUAUUGACUAGGCCCGUAAUGGCUAUGUACUGAAUUAGUGCAUGCUCCACUUUAUAUACACAAAUAUAAUAUAUGUGGUGCAAAUAGAUAUAUAUAUAUNAUAUAUAUAUAUAUAUAUAUAUAUAUAUAUAUAUAUAUAUAUAUAUAUAUAUAUAUAUAAUAUGUAGUUUGUUUUGUUUUUUUAACCCCCUAAAAAGAAAAAUUGUUACUUACCAACAGUGUAUUCAAAGACAACAACCACAGUCAUAAUAGCCCACAUAGCAGCUCUUCCCACACCAUCAUACAAAGGCCUGGUGUAGUAAAAGAGUGAAACUAGGGUUAGGGCAAGCCCUACUUUGAGCCCAUGCAUAACUUUCCUUGGAUCAUCAGCUCCUAUCCUCCACACUCUCGUUGCAGUGCCCACCACCUUCAUCCUCACCAUCACCAUGCACCCGACCAGCCACGCCGCCGCCCUCUCGAACGCUGCCGCCUCCGACUCCAUCUUCGCCGUCGAUCCUUCGGGGACUUUCACCCGCCAUUCCAAACCACCCUGCACUUCUUUGCUCUCGGCCGCGGCCAUCCCCCCACUCUCUCCGAUACCGGUCGGAGGUAACGAACAGGUCGAACGGGCGUAGAGGAGUCGGACCCUAUUGUAUUGUUCUGGAGUAACCGGUUCGCGCUCCGCAGCGGCGGCGGCUUUCGCUAAACUGAGCUUGUUGUCUUUGCAAUGGUUGGAGACUAAGUUGCGACCUUAUAUAUAUACACACAUAUAUCUACAUAGGAAGGAGAGUGGAAGUUGUAAAAAGGCGGUAAUGGGCUGAGAAGGACACGUUGAAUUGAGUGGAAAAAGAACCCACAACAUUACUCAGCAUGUUGUACCCUUUUUCGAAAAAGUAACAUAUAUACAUGCAUGUUGCAUAUAAUAUGAAGGGGAUUAAGUGGGUAAAGAGGAGGAUAUGGGAUUAAACUUUUCCAUGGGCAUGCAUGAUGCAUGGUGAUCACCAGUUUUAGCCUCUAUACAAGCAGCCUUUUUUUCAAAGCUGAUGUGUCAUGUGGUGAUACCCCGGAUUAAACAAACUAUUUAGUGGGAUUCAACUACAUUCCUUUGGUGUGCAUGCAUGGGUGGCUAACACUUGUGCUUACAAAAGAGUCAUCGUGUCAACCCAAAAUCGAACCCAAUUUGGAUUUAAUCCACUCUGGAUUUCUUACCAUUUUUGUGGUGGGGAAUUGAUCGAUUGAUGGAUAUGACAGAAACAAUGUAAGCUGACAAAAGUACCAUAGCAUGGGUGCCCAAGGACAUGAUCUUAGCAAAAAUUUGGUGCCGACAAUCUUUAUAGUGAGAUAGAUUUUUUUCAUUCAUCUUUUAUUAGAGAAUUUAAAAAUUAUAUAAAUGGCAGAUAGAAAGAUCUCGCGUGCGAGAAUUGUUCCUAUCGAUUUUUUUUGAAUUAAUUAGGAGGGACAUCAUUCUUCUCUUAUCUGAAAUAGUUGAACAUAUCUUGUACCAUUAGGUCUCUUCUGUGUUUUACUAAUAUCGUAACAGAUUGUUUGAUUCUUAGAAAAAGCAUGAAAAAUUUUUAUGAAAAAUUUUAUUUUAGUUCUUUGCAUUUUUCAUAUUUUUUUUAAAAUAAAAAUGCUAAUUUUUCAUUAAAUCUAAAAAAAAUCAAAAAUUAUUUUUUUUCUAGGAACCAAAGAGCGCCAUAAAUGAUAGUUUAUUUGCUAUAAAUUUAGUUUUCUUUUUAUGAUUUCUAUCUAGAAAAUUUUUUUUUUCCUACUCUCAUACAAGGUGUGACUAUAUAGUCAAUAUCUAUAAUUAGAACAAAAAGAUUUUUUUCUUUUUUGAGAGAGAGCUAGCAAAUUAACUACUUUGUUCAUUUUUUUAUAAUAAACCUGGCUAGAAAUUCAUAACCUACGAAAAGAUUAAUAACUACAAAGAGAGCAAAAAGAAAUUAAUAACCUACAAAAUAAUUUCUCUUAUUCCAAAAUAAUAUACAGUACACUAUUAUAAACACCCAACAAAUACCCCAAAGCUACCAGUUUUUUUGCAACACCUUGAAUGAAUAAAAUUAAAGGAGUGCCAAAUAAGGUACUUCUGCAUCCAAACAUAUGCUUUAAUUAGGCAUGACUCUUACUGCUAACAAGUACUUUGUAGUUAAUGUGUUGACACUCAUAAUAAAGAAUUAAAUGAAAAUAUUAGGUAAGAUAUGUACUUAAUUCCGCGACCAAACAUGCACUUUAGGCAUGCAUGAGUGUACAUCCUCUUGUUUCUGAAGAAGAGUACAAUAUAGUUGGUGUGUUAGUACUCAUAAGGAGGAAUUAAAUAACAUUAGGAGUUGAUUAGAUUCGAACUCAGAACUUUUUGAUCUAGUUCCAUGUUAAAGUUUAGUGAAACAACAACCAUUUAUCUCUUGACGUUUAAACUAUUAAAAAGAUAAUUAUUUUAUAAUUAUAUUCAUAUUUAAUAACAGCAUUAAAGGAGAUGUAAAGCACUUGGAUCCUCCCCCUAAGGUUCUUGAAAUGAAAACUAAGUAAUGGAGGGCACAUGCAACAUCAACAGUUGGCAAUCCACCAUCAGUUUAAGUUUUGAAAAAGUCUUCUUUAUCAUAGUUGUAUCGCAUAAGAUAAGUUCUAAACUAUUUUUAUUGUGCAAAAAAAAAAAGAAGUUAUAUAUAUGAUGUUUAAGGGGAAAAAAAAUCCUUCUAUUGUUGUACGUACUUUUCAGCAACACAGAGACCUCUGAUUGAUUCUCGCUAUUUCUAUAUAAAAUAACUGAAGAUGAAAACGGACUUAAACAGAUAUUCUGAAUUCAAAGCCAGCUGCUAUGUUCUUGCGCACGAAAUAAAGUUUUAGGUCAAUUUAGGGUUUGACUCCGAUCGAAUUAGGUAAGGUAAGAAACUUUGAAUAAACUAUUAAUUAGCUAGACCAAUCCAUUAGUGGUGUUAUUAUAAUUAGGAUCCGAAUAUCCGAUAGUAUAGAGCGUGCGCAUCUGACCCGGAUCUAUGAGUCCAAAUGGAGCCAAAUUUAAGUCACGCAUGUUGAAAAAGAAUGUGUAGAAAGAGCUCGACCAACCCUUCCCACAAGAUGAUCGAGCCACUUUUUCCAAAAGCAGUACGCACCUUUUUUUAUAUAUGUACGGAUCAGGUGAACGAAUAAAGAGGACGUGGAUUUCGUUUUCCUUUCUCUUAUUAUUAUUAUUAUUAUUAUUAUUAUAUUUUUUUAAGGAUCCAGAUCAUUGAUCUAACUUGGUCACCAUUACAUUCGUGGUAACCAGCUAGCUCUUGCGUACGUCACAUUCCACAACACGGAAAAAUUAUCUAAAAAUUAUUUACUAUGUUAUAUUCCGCACUAGUUAAAAUACAACACAUAUUAUUGAAUAAAAAAUUUGAAUAAUAAAUCAUCAACAAUGAUAAAAAAAAAAAUUACAAGGUGCUUACUUCUGUUUACAUAUAUGGAUCUUUAAUGCAAUAUUAAUGCAAAAAAGAAGGAUAGAAAUGUAUAAAAUUUAUGUGAAUUAUCGUCUACUUUUAUCUGAUUGUAUAACCUCAAAAUUUUUUUUUUGACAUCUAAUUUAUUCAAUUUGAGCUAGUACGUAUAAACUCUUUAACAUUGAAAUUUAGUUGUGUUAUUUAUCUAUACAGAUUUGAUUAACAUAUUUUAUGUAAUUUAUAUAGCUAUAAAUUUAUAAAAAUAAACAACUAGCUUAAACUUCAUAAUAACUUAAAAUAUAAAAAGUGGUGCACACUUCUAUGAAUGGGGGACAUAGAACAAAGACUCCACACAAAAGAACUAAUCAAUGUUUUUGACCUAAUAAAGUUUUAAGUAAUUGAGUUUUAGAAUAAUUAAUUUGUCUAAUCAGGUUAGGUCAGGUGCAUGGAAUUGACCAGUGUCCGCUAGGCUUCGUUUGGUUCGGGAAUUAGUAGGAACUAGUUAUAUCAGGGAUAGGUAUAAGUAUGAGUUUUUAUAAGAACAAAAAUAUUUUUUUGUUUAGAUAAAAAUAUGAGUAUAAGCUAGAACUAGAAAAAUUGCGUUUGGAUUGUUAUUUGGAAUCAGAGAAAUAGUUGAUGGUUAUAAAUAAAAAAUAAUGAUAUUACCCUAUAAUUGAAUUUAAAUGUUUAAAUUUUAAACUUAUAAUUUUAAAUUGAAAAUUUUAACUUUUAAAAUUUUAAAUUUUAAAUUAAAAUUUUAAAUUUUAAUUUUCAAAAUGUUAAUUUUAAAUAUCAAAUUUUAAAUUUAAGACCAAAUUUAAAUUUGAAAGUUAUAAAAUAUCAAAUUUAAAAUUAAAAAACUAAAAAUAUCAAAUUAAAAAUUUUAAAUUUAAAAAUAUCAAAUUUAAAAUUUAAACUUUAAAAUUUAAUUAUAAAUUAUAAAUUUAAAUUUUGAGAUUAUAAAUUUUAAAAAUUUAAAAUAAAAAUAUCUCUCUCUAUAUACCGGGGCGGGGGCAGGGGGGGGGGACAAACUGUUCCCACCCAUAUCCGUACCGGAUAUGGGUACGGAUAUGGGUGGGAGCAGCUUGUUCCCACCCACCCAUUUGGUGUUCGGGUACAAGAGGGGCGAUAAGGUUAUCCCCCUCUUGUACUCAAUCCAAACACACACUUAAAGCGCCCCAAUACAUUGGGCUCGGUUGUGGGGCCCAUACUCCGGACCAAUAAGAAUAUGGCACGUCGGAUUAUUUUAUUUAUUUUUGGGGGAGACUCAACCAGGAUAAGGCCGUUGGAAAUGGGCCUGGUCCAAUGAGCUCGCACGUUUGUGCGGGAGGAGUCCGCACGCGGACGUUUUUGAAUAUGGGGUCGUCGUGUCGGGUGAAUUGCGGGCGCCGGUUCCGCAUAAUUCAAGAAUAUGCUAAUGUUGUUUAUGUUUAUAUUUAGGAUAAGCUUCAUAUAUCAUCCUCGUGAUUUCGCGCUUUCUUACUAUGGUAUCAUAUAGUUUAAAGUGUAUCAAGUUAGUGUUCUGUGAUUUUAUUUUUAUCUUUUUGUCAGCUUUUUCGUUAAUAUUUCGUUAAGUUAUAUACAAAAAACUUCAGAUACACUAUCUAGAUUUAUCGAAUAUUCACUUUUGUACACUUUAGUUUUAACUUUGUCACUGCUUUAAAGAAAAAAAUUAGUAGAAUCAAUAAUAAUGAGGUAAAAAUAAAAUUAACCAUAAGGCACUAAAUUGAUACACUUUAAAUCACAGAGUACUAAAGUGAGAAAAUGUGAAACCACACGGAUGGUAUUUGAAGUUUUUUCUUAUAUUUAUAUUUAUAUUUUUGGAAUUGUUGACAAGUCUAUGCAUAUUGGAGGAUCAAAUUAGAUUUGCUUUUGCCUUUCGCUUUAAAUCCAUGGAUUUGUAAGUAGAGCACUGAGCGAUUGUUAUCUUAAAAGGCUAUUGAUGUGAUGAUAAAUAAAUAAAUAAAUAAAUAAAUAAAUAAAUAUAUAUAUAUAUAUAUAUAAUGCACCAGGCUUAAAUGCGUGGCUCAUAUAUGCAAUUUGCGGGUAGAUUAACUUAAGAUUAUUUUGCAAAUCAAAUGGAUAAUUAGCAGCCUUGAUCGGAUCUUAAUUUUUAUUUUUUAAGCAAAGAUGAAUACGCCAUUUUUGCCAUCAUUUUUUUUAGAGAAAGAUAGCAUGCUAUGCGUUUUAUUUAAUUUUUUAAUAUAAAUUUACCUAAAAAUGUAAAAUAAUUAAACUUUGAAAUUGUAAUCUUGGAUUGAUACUAAUCAUUAAAUCCUUUGACACAUGCAGUAGAGAUAGUGGGUAAUCACAUGUAUUAUUAGAUUAUUAGAUAAAUAAUAUUUGUACUAACAUAUGCACUAGGCUCGUCACUUUAUAAAUUAUUUAGCUAGUGGGGGUGUUACCCUCACACAAUCACCUAGUGAUAAAUGAUCUUAUUACUAUUCGGAUUGGAUUUUCAAAGACCAAAAUGUUAUAGCAAUUAAAAGUCUUUUAUGUAGCUAGCAUUUUGCGCACUUUCGUAUGAAUCGUAAUAAUCAAUCAAACAUUCUCGUCAACUCAUCGUGCAUAAAAGUACAUAUUAGAAUAAAAUUUUCCUUAACAUCAUUUUAAUUUAUAAUUACCAUAUUAUUCUUACCUAAAUCUUUAAUCACUGUCCUAUAUAACUCAAUAAAGAUUAAUCAGAUAUAAAUUUUGUACAAAACAGGAAAAAAAAAUCUUAGUAUGUCAUGACCUUAAAGUACCAUCUUAACCUCAGGGCACAUGCCAUAAAGAAUCUUUUAAUCACUGAGUUUUUUUUUUUUUUUUUUUUUCCCCAAAAAAAAAAAAAAAAAAACCUCAGGCCACACGCCAUAUAUAAAGAAUGUUCCUCUUUUUUGUUUCCUUGAAAUUUCACCUCCCACUAAGAUGUCUCUCUCAACGAUAAGCAAAGGUCGGUAACAGUUGUUUAAUUAAUUAAUUACUUAAUUAAUCACUCUCUAAUCUCUAUGCUGUGGAAAGUAUCUAAAGAGAUCUAAAAUAUAUAAGUUAAUGUGUUAAAUACAUCAAAAGUAGAACCACCAACGUAGACUACUAAUAAAAGGCUUAUGUGACAAGGACCCAACACUAUAAAUGAGAAAGAAUUUAGGAGUAGAAUGUAUGUAGUGCUCCUUCUUUAUAAGAGGUGGGACUAAUCAAGGAUACAUUUAAUAUAUAAUCUUUGGCACCAUAAAAAGUCAUAUAUUGAUGUAAAUGGAUAAUAUAUGCAUGUUGUGGUUUGAAGCUCAAAACAUAUAGAAUUAGAAUUAAUUGCCACAUAGGAGGCUACGUACCUCAAAGGACCUGUUUCUUGUGCUGAUGUAUCUUAAAUCCAUUGGGACCAAAAUGAGGAUCACAUGCCCAUGUCAGCUGAGUCAGCUUAAGCUUAAUUAUGUGGUUGGUUUUAAAGAAACUGAAAUUCCAGUGAAAAUUAAUCAAAGUGUAUGUAAUCGCAACUUGAGUUUCUACAAAAUGAUUUGUCAACGCUUUUGUCGUCUGUUUAAAUGCAAGUAGUGACUAUGUUUCAAUUAAUACUCCACGAAAGUGAGAGCAGUUCAUGUUGGUUGUUUUAUCGAGUUUUGAACUCAAAAUCUACGAUUCUGAUUUCAUAUUAAAUAGUGUGAAAUAACCAUUUGUCUCAAAUGGCUUAAAUUAUUGGAGAAUUAAUAGGAUUUCAACUCAUUAAGUUUAUAUUUAUUUUCAUCAAUUUUCGUUAUGUAACAGAAAAGGUCGUGUAUGUUAGAUCUCACUUCAUAGUUGCGUAUUAAAACAGUGGUUAUUUCUUUGUUUAAGUAAUUAUAAAACAAAGGAUAUUACGUCUUAAUUAAGGGCAUUGGGCACAAAGUAGCUUUAAGAAUCAUUCUCUUCGCACAUUGAAUGGGGAAAGAGUAUGAGCCAAUUUUAUAAAACUGAAUUUAAUACAAAACUAUAAUAUCUGUGCAAGAGACUAUAAACCUACGUAAAGUAGACCUCUUGUGUGUGUGUAUAUAUAUAUAGAAUUAUGCUACUAUACUAUCAAUAGUACCAAGCCCUUGGUACUAUUGAGUUUCAGUCGUUGGAUGAAAAGAUGUGCGGUUAGGAUGAUAGUGGUCAUCGGUUAAAUUGAUAGUAGUCCUCUAGGGUUGAGUGAGUGGUUGGUUUAAUUAAUAGUAUAAUCUAACAGCUGGAAAUGAUCAAAGGAUAGAUCUAACGGUAGAAAACUUAAUAGUACCAAGGGUUUGGUACUAUCGAUAGUAUAGUAGCCGGACUAUAUAUAUAUAUAUAUAUAUAUAGAACUAGAUUGGUAUACUAUCGGUAGUACGGAGACCUCUGUGCUACCAAGUUGUUUUUAAUGACGCGGCUUUCAAAUCGACGAUCGGCUCUAUUAGACUUGAUUUACACUAUUGAAAGUAUUUGAAAAUUAAAUUUUAUAACUUUUUGACAUCAUUUGGUUAGUGAUUAAAAUGUCUCAAAAUUGACAAUUUUAAUAGUCGAUGUGAUGUGUUUGUGAAUUUAAUAAUGUAAAACAAUUCAAAUCUGACGAAAUUUUUAUAGAAAAUUCUUUUCACUAUUUAGAGUAAGAUCCGUACCUCUGAUUUUAAAUUUAAAUCUUUUAUCAUUAUUUUUUAUGAAAUUUUUAUUUUUAGUCCUUCAUUUUUAGACUACGUACUCGUUUGAUAGGAUAUCGAAAAAUUAUGAAAUUUAGGUUUCAAAUACUUUCAAUAGUGUAGUUCAAGUCUAACUGAGUCGAUCGUCGAUUUGGAAGCUAUAUCAUUGAAAACAACUUGAUAGCAUGAAGGCCUCUAUGCUACCGAUAGUAUACCGGCCGGACUCUCUCUGUCUCUCUCUGUCUCUAUCUCUGUCUCCGUCUCUCUCUCUCUCUCUCUCUCUCUCUCUAUAUAUAUACACACACUCGAUCAUCGAUUACUAUUUUUCCACGUGCAUUUAAUUGCGAAUGUUCCAUGCAUGUAGUCGUAUUAUUCUUCAACAUGCUUAUUCUCUCCUACAACCAUCACUUCCUUGACAAUUAAUGUGUAGCGUUUAAUCUAAUAUUGGAGCAUUCAAUAAUGGUAGGCUCCAAUUGAAAACAAAUGUUGUUCUCAAAACCAAUUGGAGUCCAGUAGUUCAACCAGCCACACUAUAAACCACCAAUGUCCCUUGAAAUCCGAUGCCGUUUAUAAGAUCGCAUGAUUUAAAAAUCAUAAUAAAAACAUGUUGGGAAAGUUCGGUGCAGAAAUACAAAGGUCCAAAAUACACGUAUCUAGAUUCAUUAGCAGAAAUUAAUUAUUUGACGUGGGUAUAUUCACAUGUGAAUUUCUAACAUAGCCGAUAAACUUUGAAUUAGUAAAUUUUUUCCACCAUAUUAUUGUAAACAAAGUUUUUUAAAAAUAUAGUUGAGCUAGAAUACACCUAGAAGUACCAACUCUUUGGUAUUUCUAAGUUUCUAAUCUUUAGAUCUAUCCUUUGAUUACUAAUAGCAUUUGGAUUAAAUAUUACUUUAUCUAUCACCAUAUAUCUCCAUCAUCUUAUUCUUAUAUCACUCCAUCCAAAAACUACAAACCUAAAAAUUCUUUAGGUAUUUUUGAAAAUAUUCUAGCUCAAUUAUAUAUAUAUAUAUAUAUAUAUAUAUAUAUAUAUCACUACAACAAAAACGGUCUAUAGCGACACUUUUAAAUGUAGGUACAUGUCAAAAAAGUGCUGCUAGCUAAAAUUACCGACACUUUUAAAAAGUGUUGCUAUAUGUGGGGUCGCUAGGUAUAUAGUGACAGUUAAAAAGUGUCGCUAUAACCUAAAAGAGUGCUGCUAAUUUACCAAUACUUAUUUAAGUAUUUAGUAACCGCCGAAACUCUAUCUCGUUGGCUGCGGUGGCGGAGGAGGACGACAGGAAAUGCUCUUCGUCUAGAAUUUCAGUGGAAUGAGUGAAGAGAGAAGAAAAGAUGAUAAUUGAUUUUUCUUUUUUUUUUCUUUUCUGUUUGUAAUCGGGUCAAAUGGACUGGGUGUAGUGGGUUGAGUAGAGUAAUCUUUUAUUUUUGGUUGGAUUGGGCUUUAUAUUUAGGCAUAAGUAGAUGUUUUUUUAAGUUUUAGUAUAAAUGAGACACUUAUUCAAAAGUGUUCCAAAUAAGUGUUUCUAUAACUUAAUUCUGUUGUAGUGAUAUAUAUAGAAAGAGAGGUUAUAUAUAGAAAGAGAGGUGGAAACACGCGCAUACUACUAUUUGGCAUGUGAAAAUGACACCCACAAAUAAAGGAGGAAACAAAGCAGGCACCAACAAACUUAUCACAUAUAUCAUUCACCCUACUACUUCUCUCUCUCUCUCUCUCUCUCUCUCUCUCUCUCAAGUGGGAGAAUUAGGUCAUCACCAUGUACCUAAUAGCCUUUUAGGAACUCUUAUUUUUUAUUACGUAAAGUGGGCAACAUAGGGUUAUCAUGCAUGAGAGAAGCAGCACUUUUCUUUCCUUUGUCGUUUCCACCUUUUUUCUUUUUUCUUUUUUUUAGUUGAAAACCCAACUCACCUAUCAUACCAAAAAAAAAAAAAACAAAAAACAAAACAAAAAAGGACCGGUUAACAUUUACUCACUCUAAUAUUAUAAUAUAUUGGAAAAUUCUUAAAAAAAAAAAAGAAAAAAAAAGAGAAUGUGACCGAUAAUUUCCAACAACCAACAAAGCUAAGGACAGCCGUACGUGGUUCAUCUUUUCAUCUGGAGUCGGUUUCGUUGGAUAUAUAUAUAUAUAUAUAUAUAUAUAUAUAUAUAUAUAGUACGUCUUUCGUGUUUUCGAAAGUACGGAUGUCUUCGUACUUGUAAGUUGUUUCCGAUGAUAGGACAUCCGAUUCGACGAUCGGCUCCGUUAGGCAUAAUCUAUGCUAUUGGAACUAUCUAGAAACCAAAUUUUAUAAUUUUUUGACUUCAUUUACCAAGCGAUCAGAGGGUCUCAAAAAUGACUAUUUUAACGGUCGAUGUGGCACGUUUUUAAGUUCAACGGUGUAGAAGUAUCCAAAUUACAUGAAAUUUUAAUAGAACAUUCUACUUAACAUCAAGAGUAAAAACAAUACUUUCGAUUUGAAAUUUGAGUCAUUUAUCACUAUUUUUUAUGAGAUUUUUAUUUUCAACCGUUCAUUUUGAGACUACUCGUUUACUAGGCAAAUGAAAUUAAAAAAUUAUGAAAUUUGGUUUCUAAAUAGUUCUAAUAGCGUAGAUCAUGUCUAAUGGAACCGAUCGCCGAAUUGGACAUCCCACCAUCGAAAACAACUUACAAGCACGGAGGCCUCCGUACUUUCGAAAGCAUAGGAGCCUAGCUCUGUUAUAAUAUUGUGAGAAUGCUGUAUAUUUUAUAUUUGAAUGGCAUGUUUGUUCUUAACUUAAGAAGUCAUUUGGGUUUGAAGGUUGUGAAGAACUAGUAUAUUAUUAUUAAUAAACUAUUAAUAAUUCUCAUCAAGUAUGAAAAGAAAAGUAUUUUCUAAUUCAUGAUAACUUAGGUAGUAUUUUUACAACCUAGAAAUUUACAAUAAUUUUAUUACUUUGUUAACACUUUUUAUACCUGCCCAAUUUGAGUUGAAUUGCAAUGAUCAUUAAUAUUUUUAAUAAAAAAUAUGAAGAAUUAUUGUAAUAUUACAAAUUGUGAAUCAAACAGACUCUAAAAAUAUUACAGAGAGCGGGUUAUAAGGCACUUUCCUUUUCUUUCUCUUUCUUUCUUUCUCGGUCAGAUCUAGCCACUGUGACCGAGAUCUAUCCAAGAUCAGGGGUACUUAAUUUUCAUCUUCUUUUGAUUUUUGUUAGCUUUUUUUUUAAUGUUUCCUUUCUUUUUCUUCUUUCUUUCUUUUUUUCUUUUUUUUUUUUCUCUUCAAUGAGUUUGUGAUCUCUCACGUUUCCGUUUAAAUUCAUUAUACAUGUGUAGUUUUUUAUUCGUAGUCCCCAUAAUUUUGAGAGAUAAUUGCAUUUUUACUUGCUGGUGUUGAGUAAAAUAAUUAUAAUUUUAUCUGUAACAUUUUUAUUUUAUAUAUAUAACUCAAAUUAGUGUAUAUUACAUGCCAUAAUUAAAUUUAUUAAGACUAAACUACAUUUUUGGCCCUCAAACUAUGAGGUGAUCGAGCUCUAUUUAGUUCCUCAUAUUUUAAUUUGUUAUAAUUUUUUGUUCGAACUUCUGAAUUAUUAUAAUUAAAUCUAACAAUCUAAUUAAGUUUAUUAAAUAUUAUUGAUGUGUUGCUAGAGUGUGGAAGUCACAUAAUAAUAUUAUGAUUAAUGACACGAUAAUAAUUAAGAUACGAUAUCACUUCCACAUUCACGAUAUAUUAAUAUUUGGUCAACUAAAUUAGAUUAUAAUUUUUCUCAUGUUAAACCAUUUAAACCACAAAAACAUGCGAAAGUUUUAAAAAGUCAAUCUGACCAUGGAGAUCGUCAAACCUAACAUUCAUUACUGCACUUAUGGACGAUAAAUUUGACGAUCUAACAGUGACAAUCACAUAACGCAUAUCCACAUAUCUGAGCUCGACUAAAGGUAUUAGGUCAAACUCGAGUAAUAAACGAGCUAUAUUUUUGUUUGAAGCGUGUUCUAAAUAUGGCCUAGCUCGUUCCGUAUUGUUGCCGUUUCCUGUAAAAAAAUACUCCUUUUGCACCUAUAAUUAAGUACAAAUCCAAAAACUACUUUAAUUCUAAUUCGCACAUAUAAAUAAGUAUAAAUCCAAAUACUACUUUUGCACCUAUAAAUAAGUAUAAAUCCUACACCUAUAGUAUUCUAGAGUUCACAAAAAUUUAAAUAUAUUUUAGUUUAAAAUAAUAUUGAAAAGACUAAAGAGAGAAUAUGAAGCAUUGAAUGAGUGAGUCAGUGAUGUGCAUAUUUUAUGGCCUAGUCUAGAAAUGUAAAGAUAUUUUUUUUUUGAAUACUAAUUUUAUGUAAUUUGAUAUGUUCGAGAAAAGACAUUUCUUUUCUUGUUGUAAUUGAUUAGCUUAUAAUUAUAGAUGAUAAUUUGUUUAAUGAAAUUCUAGAAGCGAGAAAAUAUUUUGAAAUAUUUUUGUCGUCAAAUAAAUAUUUUAGAUAAAAUAGUUGCACGCAAUCCAUAUAUUAUUCACUCCUAAGUCCUAGCCUCCAUUUAUAUAUAUAAAUUUUAUUCAAAAAAAUAGAAAAUAAGCACGAGAGAUCCUAAUUAACUCGAGAAAUUAGGUGAAAUGCAUUGUCAGAUAAACUGUUUUUUUUUGUUUUUUUUUUUGGGUGGGUUUUGUUUUUUUAAGGUUACAUCGGGGGCAGCGUCAUGUGAUGUGGACUGAAUCUGGCAUGUCUCUGUGUGGUGCCCAGCACGUGGAAAAAUUUUAGAAUGCAACGAGUAUACGGGUGACUUGGCAUAACAAAUCAAUCAAAUAUUUUCUUUUAAAAAUAUAUGUCCCAUCAUAAUUAUAAACAAAUAUUUUUUUUAUACUUUUAUUUGAAAAGAAGAAAUAUAAUUGGUUUGUUACGGGUAACAUGAUGCAAGCGUGACAGUAUAGAAUUCCUCCCAGCACGUGAGAAAUGAUGAGAUCGCUUAUAAUUAAUUAAAUUUAUUAGAUCCUUCUUAGAUUUGAUUAAUUCUUUCCAUCACAUCUUUGUAAGAUUUGGCUAUGGUUUCGUUUGGAAUUGCGGAGAGAUUGAGUUACAUGCUGUGAGAAACGACGAUAAAAAAAUAUUCUAUUUGUUUCCGUAUGUAAUAUUGUGUUCUACAUAUUGCGGUUAGUAGGUUACGAUAUAUUUUCUACGAUUUUAUAGAAAAACGCAGAAACAUAUGCUUUUUUUUAACUCUAUUAUAUCUAAUAGCGUUUGAUAGACCUUAAUACCAAACUAAGCCUACGUCGGGUGACGCGUCAUAAACUAAACAUCCGAGCUCGUAGAAUCCGAACCCGAGAAAAAAGAAAAGACAAAAAGAAAAUCCUUUUAUUGAAUGUCAUGCGAGAAAUGGCUCUUGAGUUAUAUAUAUUCUUAUAUAUACUUUCCUCAUUUUUUUUCCAUCUAUAAUGAAUUGUAUAAAAAAUUACCUUACAUCUUUAGAUUUCAUACUCGCCAAACAUUUUCGUCGAUAUAUGCAUGACUAAGUUUGAUUUGACUUGAAUAAGUCGGAUCCGAUUUGCCGCAAAUAGGUCAACCUCAAUCUCCCAAGCAAUUGGUAUCAGAGUCGAUUAUUUGAAGAUCUUAUAGAUAUUCUUCUUGCUAGUGUGGUGAGAAAUUGUUCGAUAUUUUCAUAUAAAAGAACAGAGAAUUUUGUCCAACAAUAAGAAUUUUAAUAGAGUUUAAACAUAACGUACAAAUAUUACAACAUAUUUUGCACAAUUGAAUUCAUUUAUUACCCCCUUAAUUAGUUGCCAUAGCUCUGCGAGGAUAUUCGUGCUUACGCAAUCGAAGAACUCGAGCAUCAUGCAUGCACAGUGAAAAAAAUCACACUAGUUUUGGAUUUGUAGCAUGUACCGUGCGCGAAGCGAUGGCAUAAUCAUUUUUCAGUUUAACGUGAAUAACCAUAAAGAGAAAUUACUGAUGUCAAACAACAUGAAAUGCCAUUAAAAGCCGGAUUAUCAACACUACUUAUAAACAGGUUAAUGAACAACAGGAACCGAAUGGUCGCAACCUCAAGAGCCUACAUAACUAUAACUUAAAUCUUAAGAGCUGCAUCCCUCCAGGUCCACAAACAAGUUCUACCACAUUCCUAAGCCCCCAACUCAGCAGCUUCUCCGUCCCGCGAAUUUAUGUUUCCCAUGCAUGAAUACAUUCGCUAACUCGACCGGUAACAGCUUAUCUUUUUGCAUCUUGUGAUGAUUGAUCGAUCAUGUUUACGCGAAUUCACCACUGCCAGGGCGUUUCGACGGCGUGUUAUGUCCACCGAAUUUGAAUGCCGAAACAGUGGUAUCUUAUGCCACAAUCCUUCCAUUCUAAGUAGCUUCUAAACCAGCUCGAUUACGGUGAUCACUGCACUCUAUCAGCCAAACCAACUGGAAUCGAUAUGGGCGAUUGCUGAUAAUUCUUGAAUGUGGACGCUCCUCCACCUUCCAUAACCUUCGUUAGCUGCUCGUUAGGUCGAAUGCUAUUAGUUUGUUGCAGUAGUUGAACAAGCGACAAAAAUAUAUCCAUCCUGGUUAUGUCUCUGUUUGCCUGCGUUGAACCGAAUGCAUCUAUUUCAGUAGGAGAGAGAAAAUGGAAAGUGGGAGUUGCCAAAACUUUUUUUUUUUUUUUUUUACAUAUUUUACCUCAACUAGAAACCGUGACCAUAUCUUGCUUUCACGAAUCUCCAUCACUCCCUUCAAGAUUGUCAAGCCAUAUCCACGAAUAAUGUCCGCUAUUUCAAGAAAGAACCCUCGUUCUUCACAAAGCAUCUGUUUGAGACACAAAAGAACAGAGCAAAUAUGUAAAUAAUACCGAUUGAGUCAUCCUGGAAAAAGAAGAAAAAGUCUUCGGUAGUAUUUUACCUCAAUGAGCAUCUGGCCAGGUGGUGUGAGGUCCUCGACUAUUAUAGGGCACACCAUGGUUUGACCAGCAACUUCAUAGGCCCAGGUAGCACCGCCACCGCUGCUGCCGCUUGAAUUGUCUUUCAAGACAACACCGCUCUCGUCACCGAUCAUCUUUACAUCCAUAAAGAGAAGUAAAAAAGAAAAGAGGGAAAACGAGAAAAAAAAAAAAAAAAACAGUUAUUAGAUAACACAUUUAAGAUUCCAAAAGCCAAAAGUAACCUAUAGCCAUCAACUUACUUUCGGCUCAUCAGCUUGCUUAAUUUUUUCUGCAUACUUGGUCACACUUUGUAGAAAUAGCAUGUGCUUGAUCGUGCGGUCCAACAAAGCAUCAAUGCUACACUGUUAUAUUAUAUAGAUCAAGAUAAGGCAGUUUGUAGUCAUUAGAAAUCAUCAGAAAUAUUGAAAUUUAUUUGGUUACCUUUGCACCAUUGGGGACAAUCUCCCUUAACUCCUUCACGCGAUCCUGUAUCAGCUGUCGGUCUUUGGGUCUUGGUCGAGUACUCUCUCCAGGCCUAGCUCUUUUCUUAACAACUUUGACAGCUUCUUCGGUACUCUUCGGCUGAUUAACCUUCAAAUUUCCAGUAUUCAUGCUGCAACUGUCAUCAAUCUGUAAAUUAAAAUGUGACUUCGAAGACGCUUCCUUGGAGGGUGCAGUUAUGACCUUAUCCGACUGGUUCACAACGUGUAUUUGAGUAGUACAUAAUGAGGGGCAACCUACAGUAACAGCUGUAGGUAGUUUGUGCUCUGAAUUAUUGCCAGAUGCUGCCUUAACAUUAAUAGGAACAGAACCAGAUGCCGGAGUCUUAUUAAUAUUAUUACUUCCGACUAUAGCUUCUAAUAAUUGUUCAAAACUCAGCUCAGAAAACAAGUCUUUCUCUCCACCUGAAAUGGAUCCCUUCUCAAAUUCUGGGAUGACAAUGUCAUCUAAGCAUUCCUGCAUGAGGGCGUUGGAACUGAGUUCAAAUACCAUAUCAUUAUACAAGUCAUUGUCAGCAGCUUGUUGAGUAGGUGCUGUAGAAGUGUUCUCGUUACUUCCUCUGCCAAGUGAGUUGAACACACAUGCAGUGGGAUCCUCGGUCAGCUUACUACUAAUCACUUCGAUGCAACCAUUGCCCUUAGUCUGGACCAAACCCGCUGAAACAGAAGCAACAUCCAAUAGAGUCUCAUUCAUUUGUGAAGCAAAGUUAGUGGCACUCUCAUUGGCAGGAAACAAUAGAGAUUUUUCAGGUAUAAGAACCUCGGAUAAAGUGAGACAAGUAUUUGGAAUUUCUGGAGUAAAGGAAGGGAUUUUGUCGAGAGAUUCUGCACCAGAUAGGUUGCCUAUGGAAUAAGAGCAGAUCGACGAAUUCUGAAAAUCUAGUAACUUCUCUAUACUAGGGAGGCAUGCUUCGUUGAUUUGAGAUCUUGUGCUGGAAAUUGUGUUGCAUGAUCCAAAUGCGCUACAGGACGAAGAUGAAACUCCAAGGCAAGGAAAGUCAUUCAAAGAAGUAACACUAGCAAACCCUUGCAUUCCCAUCCCUGAUGACAAUCUCUCCCCCAUCAUAGGUGGAUUAGUAAGCUCGCUGAUACCAGGUGUGUUUAAGUAGGUAGAAGUUUUGUUAUGAGAAAAAAUAGAACUGGGUAGUGUUCUAGAUGCCAAUUGCGCAUGAGUUUCGGCAUUGACUGGAUGUGAUUGGUUAUUUGCUUGAUAAGAGAAGUUCCCAAAGUUCAAAUAUCCUUUAGAUAAACCAAUAUAGCUUGACAUAUAAGAAUUUAUGCUGCUGCCACUGCCAUAACAUCCAAAAGCAUUAAAAGACCCCUUGGAGAAAUCAGCUGAAGACAAAAAGGGAGGUCUCAACAACUGUGUAUGCGAUAUUUUAUCAAUGUCCGUCUUGCUUUGUAGAGAACUGGUGCUAUUAUAACACUUAAAGAUAUCUCCCAAAGAGCUUGCACAGCCAAGUGCCGCAGGCUGAUUAUAUGUAAUAAUAUCCUUAUAAGAACCGUUGUUUAGAAAAACUGACAUACUUCCUAGUUGCUUAAGUAAAUCCUGAACUUUGUUGAUGAACUCGGAACUUUCAGGAACCUGAUGAAAGAGUGGAAAUAGAAGUUAAACACAAUGUACUUAUAAGAUAUCUCAUCUAAGAAUUGUGAAAUACUUAAAACAGCUUGUUAGUUUGAUAAAACACUGAGUUUUCUCAACAAUGUUAUUUAGAAUAGGCUUUUAAUUUUGGACAGCAUUCUUCAUUUAGGUUCUGUUUCAGCAGAAUUGCAAAUACCCACGGAAGCUAUUCCCAUGGGAGUAUUGGUAAUGUACAACAGUGGCAGAGCAGCAACUAAAUUCACUGCACCGCUGAUACAGCCCCUCCAAUUACAUGCUUCGAAGUUGUAGACACUUUCUCAUAAAUGUCUUACCUAUGCGGCAAUAAUGCCCCUUCAAUUACAUGCUUAGAAGUUAUAGACACUUUACUUCCUAUUCAUCAAUAGCUCUCAGUUCUCAAGUCAUUCUAUUUAUGCUCCUGUUAUCUUCAGAUCCAUGCAUUACCCUGAUUACCAUCCGUUAACAAUUGAAACAUCUAUCAAUUUGAAAAAUCUAGCACUUCACGCCAAUUAUAUAUUUGGCAAAAAGACAUUACAACAAUGGAAAAUUUUCCAUCGGCAAAGUCAAGGCAUUGAAUUAGUCCUGAUGCUAACAUGUGAUUUCGUAUCAGGCAGUUAUGCACGUUACUAAGGCAGUGACACCUUUCUUCUCAAUACUAAAACUGCUUAAGCCUAGAGCAAGCAACACUAUUCAGAGAACUAUUUUUGGAUGUUAAAUUAUAGUCGACAUUGUACAGUGGCUACCACAUUAUUUUAAAUGAAGAUGUCGCAACUUUUAGAAGAUAAUUAAAUGCCAACCUUUCUGGUGGAACCAAAUUGCACUACGCCAAACGAUGGCAGAGGUAUUACUGCAAUAGUCUGAAAAAGAAGGUGCAUUAUCAGCAGUCAAAAUAAGAGAAGUAAAUUGAGAAAGAUGCUUGUUUCAAUAGCUCAAAUUUAUAAAACCACUAGUAUGAAGAAAGCACACAUUGGUUAUACAUGUUCUUGAGCAGAUAACUAAGUAAACAGAUGGGCACGAACCUUUAUUCCUUCCAAGAACUGAUGUUGCCACCAAGUAUUGCCCUGAAACAAAAAAAAAUUACUCAUUUAACCAUGGAAGAAAAGGUUAAGAUUUCCACAAUAUCUACCAGGUGUCCAAAUACUUAAAUAAUCAAAUUGUCCAUGUAAUAACAAAAAUAUCAAUGAUCAAAACAAACAUAGUAUGCCCCAAAAGCGUAAAAGAGUUUUGAUACUCCCAUAAUUUUCAACUAUGUUCCAUAAACCUUGUCAGAUAUGACGGUAAUUUACAAAAAGAAUACCACUCAGAAUGUCCCUAAUUUCAAUAAUCUUUAAACUUCGCCAGUCGUCAAACUGAGAGCACUGAUAACUUACUACAAAGGAAAUAUUCACCUUAAUGUAAAACCUCAAACAUUUCCAAGAACUAUAAUGAUUUUCUUUCUGCCUAGAGACAAGAUAAAACGAGCCUGUACUUUCUGCUGGCUUGUUGGUCUUAAUAUUGCUUUGAAACCUUUACCUGGAAAAUUUCUUGACUUGCAAUGGGGUUGGUCUGACUCAAGCCGGUACCAUCAGUAUCAGCAUACAUCCACCGACAUUUCCCACUUACUAGAGCUUCUCCGAUGAUUCUGCACAAAGAUGAGAGGAAUCAUACAAUUUAAGGUCAUAAUGACUGGUUGCGACUUUUAUCCGCCAAAGAGGAAUGAACUUCAGUGAAAAAUAACAAACUGAAUGAGUAAAUUCCAGCAGGAUUUCCAGUACUGAGCAUGAGGUGAACGCUUAUUAAACUUCUAAACAGUUAAAAUAAAAUGAUGCAGGAAUAUGGCUAUAUUUUGGUUCAAGUACAUGUUUGAAGAAGGAAACAGAUGCACUCAUUUCAGGAGAAAACAACCUAACAUAGCAAUGAUUUUGAAGCCUGAACAUUCCAAAAGGCAAAAGGAGAGUACAUUCAACUUGACGAAAAAAAAACAACAGAAACUAAGAAAAUUUGAAUCUACUAAUAAAUCACUAAACUAGUUGAAUCAUACCCUUCCCCAAUUAUGUGGAAAUGAUUAAUCAUCUUCCCAACCAUUCCUCCAACUUGAUCUUCAUAGUAGCUAUCCUCCACUAUAAGCAACCUGACCAUUAGAGAGCAAUUAAUAUCACUUAAUACAACUAAGAAAUUCAGCAAGAGAGAACCUUAGCUCAAAAGAUGUGAAAUUUAGCAUCAAAAUGUUGAAUUCGCACAAUGAUUAUGCAAAAAAUCAUUCACAUUAGCAUCCCUGGCCAGUUAAGUAACUCAAAUUCAUGAAACGAGAGAAACCAUCCAAUUAAAAAGGUCAAAAAAAAAUUAAAUUUUUGUUAAGCCUACGCGUAGCGUCCAAAUAAGGCAAAACAAAAUACAUAUUAAAAAAAGGGUAAAAAAGAAUUGACCUCACCUGAACUAUAAAGCAUUUUAAAAUGGAUACUUGAACUUCAAAAAUUUCAAUUUUACUACCUAGUCUUUCAUUCCGUUUGAUUUCAGUAAAUGCCUCCCAAAUAAAUUAUCAAAUUUGUCACAAUUUGACGGUUUUCAUAGAAAUAAUUGUAGAAUAUUCACCAAAUAACAUAAUAUUUAGUUCGGUUAAAAUAUAUUUCAUCAGAGAAGUUAAAAAAUACUGUUAAUUUCAGAUGGGAACAUGUUAAACCAAACAUAAUAUAAGUUUAGAUAGUAAAUUUAAAAUUCAAAAAGUUUUGUUUACUGAUUUUCAAAAUGCGGUACAGUACAGGUGAAGUUCAUACUUUUUACCUUAUAAAAAGAAAAGAAAAAAUUGCUCAAAACAAUAGUUAACAAAGAAGAACACAAAACUAAAAUGCUAGUUAAUACAAAGGGAAAAGAAAAAAGGGAAAAAAAAGAAGCAAUUUUAAGCUUCAGGAAGAACAAUUACUUGUUACUUGAAGAAAUGGAACCCCACAAAGAAAAAGCAACGAAAAAACAGAGAAAUUAAAAAAAAAAAAGGAAACUCGGAAACAAAACCCAGAAACGGAAACAUCAUAAAGGAGCACACGAACGCGAGAGAUCCCACAAAUUGCUCGCAAAAACCAAACAAAUCCCUGCAAAAUGGAAACUCACAAAGCACCAAAACCCAACCCCCACACAACAGGAACCGAAACCGUGAACCUACCCCGGAUCGCGUCGAUCCGCGCGCCAGAACACCGCGUAAGACCACUCCCCGCCGCCUCCGCCGCCGCCACAGAGCUCGCCGAGCGCCUCCCUCAGCUCCGGCGGCGCCAUUACGAGCCCCCGCACGAAUCUCGAAGCAGCGGAAACCCUAAUCUCUCUCUCUCUCUCUCUCCCCGCUUCUCUCGAGCUCCUCUCGCGGAGUGGAGUUCGAGGAGGGAGAGAAGGGGAAAGUGGCGAGCAACAGAAGCGAACCGGGUUCGGAGCGCGACGGGCUUUGGACUUUGGACCGCUUGGGAGAAAAACCGGAAUAGAGUGGGCGGGGUGGGGGUUUUUAUAGAGCGGGAGAUGUGGGGUAAAAGAUCGGCGAGUUUUUGGCGAGGCGAGGCGAGGCGAGGCGCGGCGCGUGCUUCUGCCCUUUCCUCGGAGGGCAUUUAUGGGUUUUUAAGGAACAGGAGUUACUAUAAUUAUUAAUGUGGAGGGUAAGAUGGUAAAUAAUCAUUCUUGAGGGGUACUUCGUGAGGAGUUAGAUCUAAAGCUUAGGGUGUGCUUGGUUCCACGUAAAACUGUGGAAAAAAAAUUUUUGGUGGAAAAAAAAAUUUCGGUGGAAAAAAAUUUUACGUUGUUUAUGUUUGAUUUGUAGAAAAAGAAAAAUAGUUUUUCAUGAUAAUUGUUUUGUUGAAAGGAAAAGAAAAAUAAAUAAAAAACUAUUUAAUAUAUUUUUUAAUAUAUAUAUUAUUAAUAUAUUAUAAUUAUUAUAUAUGUUUUCUCUAAUUAUAUAUAUUAUAUAUUAUUAAUAUAUAAUAAUUAUCAUAAUAUAUUUAAUUAUUAUAAUUUAUAUUUAUAAUAAGUUAUAUUAUAUAAUAAAUAUGUAAUAUAAUAUAUAAUAAUAUAUAUUUAAUAUUAUAAAAUAAAUUAUUAUAUAUUUAUAAAUAAAAUAUUAUAUAAUAAAUAUAUUUAUAAAAAAUAAAAUAAAAUAAAAUAAUAUAUAUAUAUUAUAUUAUUAUAAUUAAAAAGGGAGAGAGAGCUAGGUUCACUGCUCUCUCUCUCUUGGUCCACGAGUUGAAACACACCUCGUGGACCGCGUGCAAAAGGCACAUCAGCCGCGCCAUGUGAGCCCCGUGUUUUUACUGUAGCUUUUCGUUUCCGCUUUGUCAGAGCGGAAAACGAAAAUGCGAGUUUUCCGUGUUUUCGUAAAAAAAAAAUUUUCGAGAAAAAUUUUUUACAGAAAACCAAACAAUGGAAAAAAAUUUUCAACUGAAAAAAAUUUUUCGGACUGCUUUUACAUAGAUCCAAACACGCCCUUACUUUUGGUUUCGGCUAUAAGCAAAAAUUGUUUAUUUCAGGAAUAGAUAUAAAUUUAAAAUAAACUAAUUUUACGUUUGGAUGGAAGUUGAAUUAUUUUCGAGAAUAAAAAAAAAUAGCGUUUGGAUAGAUAAGAUGAAAUAAGAAGAACAGUGGACAGUUAUAAAUAAAAAAUAAUGAUAUUUUUCUUUUUAUUCUCGAAAAUAAUUCAACUUCCAUCCAAACGUAAAAUUAGUUUAUUUUAAAUUUANUUUAAUUAAAAAAAUUAAAAAUAAUAAUUUAAAAUUUAAAAUGUUAAUUUUUAAAUUAUAAAAAUUAAAUUAAAUAGGGGUGGGAAUAGCUGGGAAGCUAUUCCCACCCCUAUUCUGGGGGCGGGAAUUGUUAACCCCACCCCAAAUUAAUCUCAUUUGGGGAUAAAGGGGUAUAACUCCUUAUUCUCCGCCUAAUCCUAUUUCUCCAACCAAACGGUGUGUAAGUGUUUAUUUGUUUUGAUCAACUUGGCGAUCGUAAUGGUUUAGUUUUGAUCAUCAGAGUUCACAAAUAUUUAGACCAGAUUGUGGAGCUCGAUAUUUACGGAGGCUAUGUGGUCUAUGUGAAUACAUCUCACGGGGCAGCGAGUAUGUGUACAGCGGGAAGUUAAACUUUGCCGUAUGGGCAGAACUCAGCAGCUUUGAUAGGGCGUGUUCUUUUUUAUCAAAUACGUUCAAAGAUCUUGACUUGUAGACUACAAUGACAUUUUUCACUAGUAUUAUGACUUGAAAUAAUUCUAAUGUUUAAGCUAGCUAAGACAUUGGCCAUCUCUCUAACUUUUGCUUUAUGCUAAAAUUUGUGAGUAAAUCUCACUAGUCACUAAAUAAUAAUGCUAUGAAAAAAUGUAUGUCCUAUCACAAUUAAGCUUUUUUUUAUAGUAAACAUCAGAACUUCCUAAAUUUAUUUGUGAGUACCUAAAUUUUUCGGAAUUUUGACUGAUGUCUUGUUUGGUAGUAUGAAAAAAAUUCCUCGAAAUAAACUUUUCAUGAGAAAUCUCUUUUUCAGUUUUCAGCCUAAUUGAUUAUAAGAAAAAUUAUUUUUUUGAAUUUUUUUCAUAUUUUAUGGAAAACUAGUUUUUUUUAUUUCCGAGAAGUUGGAGAGAAAAAUUCUCUCAACACGAAAUAGUAUUGAGUGGCUGAAAAUAUACUAUUUGAUGAUUUAGAAGAUGCAAAAAUACAAGAAACCUUAUUCAAUGUAUAUAUUAAUUAUAUUGUAACUACUAUUGUUGUGAAUGACUUGGUAGAACAAGUAUAAAUAUAACUCCUCAAACUCUUUCUCCACGCUAGGCUAAGGACAUACUACCACAAACACAAAGGUUUAAAUUGUUCAUAACUUCUUAGAUAUAAAGUAAUAAUAAAUUAUACUUUGAAUAUUGAAAGAGAUUCGAAUUAAUUAUUCGAAUUAAUUAAUCAUAAUGCAAAUUAAACAAUUAGUGUCUGAUUCGUCUCAACGAGGACUCGACCAAUUUUUAUGCUAAUAAUGAGCACAAGUGCUAGUCAAAAAACACACUCAAUGUAAUGAAUUGUAAUUUGUAAUUUCUUUCUCUUCAGCGAUUUUUAUUGCUGUAUUAUAAGUAAUGAAGAUGAAUUUGUAUAACUUUACAAAGCAAAACUUGCACAAAAUACAUGAAAUUAUUAUAUAGGAGGUCAUACAAAUUCUCGUAAUAUUUUUGCUUUAAUUAAACAAUGAAAUAAGAAUAAUUCCAAGAACUCCAAUUUGAAAUAUUCAAAAGUCUAUAAUUAAGGUGGUGAGUUCCUAUCUGUAUUAGCUGAGUAACAGCUACUUUUCAAUAUAAAUUAUGGGCUUUUUUUUUGAAUUUGCAAGUAUCAUAGGGUGAUUCCUCGAAAUUAAUUAUUAAGUAGUUAAUUAUGAAUUAAAAAAAUGAAAUUUAAUUUUAAAAAAUAAAUGGGAAUUAGAUGAAAACCCCAACGUACACCACCAUGUAAGAAAUUGAUACAUGGACCGAAAUUAGUUGAAUAUCGGCAUAAAAUUGAUGUGGAAUUGUGGACUUAAUUAAGUAAUGCUAGGAGUAUAACAAAAUUCUAAUACUGAACUUCCUACUCCAAGUGUGCAAUAACAUGUUAAAUUAUAUAAAUAAAUAAAUAAAGUGUAAACUUUAAAUAUCACUCUUAUGAUUUCGUACUUUCUCACUUUAGUAGCAUAUGGUUUAAAUUAAAUAUAUCAAUUUAAUACUAUGUGGUUUUAUUUUUCUUUUCUUUUCGUCGGUCUUUUCGUUAACUUUUCGUUAAAUCACAUNUAUAUCAAUUUAAUACUAUGUGGUUUUAUUUUUCUUUUCUUUUCGUCGGUCUUUUCGUUAACUUUUCGUUAAAUCACAUAUAAAAACUCCAGAUACUUUAUCUAUAGUUUAUUAAAUAUUCACUUUAAUACUCUUUAUCACUGAUUUAAUGAAAAAAAAUUAGUGAAGAUGAUAACAAAAAUAAAAAAUAAAAUCACAGAAUACGAAAGUGAUACAUUUUAAACUAAGAGUAUUAAAAUAAAAAAGUGUGAAAUUACAUAGAAGAUAUUUGAAGUUUUUCCAUAAAUAAAUAUAAUAUAUAAGCUUAAGCUAUUAGUAACGGUGUUUUUACAUUUAUAUUCAACAUGGAGUGUACACAAAAUCCGAAUUAAUUAAUCCUCAGAUGCACACACUCCAAGGUCCACAAAUGGUGAAGCACAAAAAACCACCCAUCAUUUCACAUAAUGGGUGUCUUGAAAAAUUGCACACAGCCACUUGCUCAAAACCUCAUGAGAUAAGGUUAAUUUUUUCUCCCUGUUAAACAAUUUAGCCCCACACAGUGUUGGAAUCUUGACUAAGGACCAUUGGUCAAAUAAUCAAAAACCCAUGGCCCAAUGUUUAGGAUGUCCCUAAGCUAUAUAUAUGUGUGUGUAUAUAUAUAUAUAUAUAUAUAUAUAUAUAUAUAUAUGUAUAUAUAUAUAUAUAUAUAGCUACAACCCUAUGCCCACAAAAAUUAAGUAGCCCUUCCUUUAUUUAACACACUUGGGACCACUCAAAAGUGAUUAUUGUGUUCUUGCUAAUCCAAUCAUAUUUGCUUGCAUAUGAUUGAGAGCCUAUCAAAGGAAUAUUUCUAGGUUUUCCUUCUUGUUUGUAUGCCUGCUAAACCCUAACCUGCCCAUCAUCAUCUUGAAGCUUGGUAAAGCUACUUGGGAGAGAGAGAGAGAGAGAGAGAGAGGACAUAUUAUUGUUCACAUUCUUUGUAUCUAUACACCUUAUACACCGCAUCCAAAUUCUGACUCCUGAUGCUUUAAGAUAAGAUGAGGCGCGUGAUUGAUCUACCGCAUAUAAAAGGUCUUUAUAUAUAAAAAAAAAAAGUCAUGAGUUUUAAACUUCUUGGACAUGAUCAAAUAAUCUCACAAGUUAACUAUAUACAAAAGGGCAUUUGCUCGAUUCAUAAUAAUUCAGUGUCCAAAAUUUAUGAUUUUAUGUAUGUAUGACAUAUUCGACCGUUAGAUUCUAAUUUUCGAGUCUCUAGGGAACAGUACAUGAGAUGUACUUAUGCACCUGGUACAGGCAAUACUGUGUGUGUAUAUAUAGAGAGAAAGAGAGAGGGUCCACCACUAUAGCUGCUACAAGCACAAGGAGUUCCCAUUAUUCUUGGCAUCAAGGCCAAUAAUUUUGUCUCCUCAAGCUUUUCUAAGUGUUCCCCUUUCAUCAUGGCCGUUCACAGCAAGGUCAAUGGCAUCAAAAAGUGUUGCUUUUUUGUUUUUGUUGCUUUUUUGUUUUUCUUUAUAUAUAUGUAUAUAUUCUAUCUUGAGUUCUCAUUUCAUUUCUUUUCUGUAAAGAGAGCUGGUAAAAAGAAGGGCAGGAUAUACUCUAUAUAUAAUGUGGAUGGUCAUCAAGGGGGAUCAAAAGGCAACAUAUAUAUAUAUAUAUAUCAUCUUUGUGUGAAUCCACCAAAAAUCUCCUUCCUUAUAUUAGCUGGAUCUACAUAUAGAUAAUAUUCUCUCUUUGACAAACAGGAUAGGUAUAUUUUACAUUUCAUGGUUUUAAUUUCUCAAAUAAGUAUAAUAUUGUAACAUAAAAUGAAACGUAGGUUAUAUAAGCUCCUUAUAUAUGCUACGUACAUUGGAAGUUAUAAACUCAGGAGUACUUCUCUCUUCUUAAUUUAACUAAUGCCCUUUCUGAGAAUGUGAUGGAUGUGAAAAAAUGAUUCGAACUAAGAACCUUGUACGUACUUUGGUGAACAUUAUUAAACAAGCAUUUACUUUGUUUGCAUUUAAAAUGUUAGAGAAUGAUAUUUUAAUUAAUAUUUAAUAUUGCUUAAUAUAGGGACAACUGUGGAAUGAAAAAAUGGAAUGUAAAACCCGUAAUUUAUACAAUCUGACUCCUAACUUAAUUUGUUUUUUCAUCCUUCACCAAUGGCCUUUAUUGCAAAUUAUGAUAAUUAAUGCAUAUAAAAUAAGUUAUAAGUAGAAUGCUUAUUUUUCUUUUGAGAAUUAUAUAUAAUACAGUAGAACAAUUAAAGCAUCAAUAUUUUUAUGUUGUGGUAGUAGUAUUAUCUCCUUUAAUUACUACCAAAAGAUAUCGCACUGAUCAGUGUCAUUAUACACAAAGAUAUCGCGGUCCACCGAACUCAUAAUAUUUAGUUGCCCUAAAUGGCAAUAAGGAAAAAUGUUAGAAAAUAACAUGUCUCCUUUGUUAUGUGGAUUUGCAUGACCCACAGGAUAUAAUUUAUGCUAUAUAAGUUGUAGCCUACUUUCCUCAUCAAAGAUGAUUACCUUUUAAAGUAGCUAAACAUUACUAGUAUUUAAUAGUUAGUAGAUACCCCACCAUACUAUUUGCGCGCAACAAGAAUCUGGGUUCUAAUGCAAAGCAAUGAAGCAUAAAUAUGUUUUAAAUGGUCAAAAUAAGAUUGGAUUAGCUAGUCCAAGUAAAAAGAAGCAACUGGAUUAUAUAGUAAGGCACACUAGGUAGUGGAAAAUUAUCUCACAUCAUAACACUUGUGAAAAAUGGCACAAACAAAAACUAAUUAAUCCAUCUUUGGAACAAAGUUGGUGCACGCUUUUUGGUAUCAGGGUACAUAUUCAUAUAGAUGCUACAUUAAUUUAUAUGCACUAAUAAGACACUACAACAAAUUCAUGAUUUAGCGGCAUUUACUCCGCAGUAUUUAUUUAUAUAAAUAACGCUAAUUAAUUUAUUUAAUAGCAUUACUUGAUAAAUACCGCUAGAUUUAAUAAUUUAACCGCAAUUUACUAUUAAUGUUGCAAAAUAGAAUAAAUUAGCAGUAUAAAUUAGUUAAUGCCGCUGAAGUUUUCAGCAUUUUAUAAAAAAUAACACUAAAUAUAAUAAAGUAGCAGCACUUAUUGUUAAAUGCUGUAAUAUUUGCUCCGCAAUAUUUAUCUAAAUCAUGCCAAUUAAUAUAUGUAGCAGCAUUACUUGAUAAUUGCCGCUAGAUUUAAUUAUUUAGCAGCAAUUUACUAUUAAUGUUGCAAAAUAGGAUAAAUUAGCAGCAUAAAUUAGUAAAUGCCGUUAAAUAUAAUAAACUAGCAGCACUUGUUACUAAAUAUCAUUACUAAUUAAUAUAUCCCUUUGUUUUAGAAUUAAAAAUUUUAAAAUUAAAGUUUAAAAUUCGAAACAUAUAAUUUUAAAAAUUAAACUUGUAAUUUAAAAUUUGAAAUUUUAAAAUUUAUAUUUUAAAUUUUAAAUUCUAAAAUUUUUAAUUUUUAAUUUUUUAUUUUUAAAUUUUAAAUUUUAAAUUUUAAAUUUUAAAAUUUUAAAUUUCAAAUUUUAAAUUUAAAACUAUUAAUUUUGAAACUUNCUAGCGCAAGUGGCAAAGGGCUUGGUGGUUAGUAUUCGAGGUCUCAAGUUCGAAUUUCUAAAAGAAAUAAACAAAGCAGGUAGCAUCUCAAAAAAAUUAAAAUUAAAAUUUUAAAAUUUUAAUUUCUAAAAUCAGAUAUUUGUAUUAGCGGCAUUAUAUUUAUGUGCCACUGAUAAACAAUUUAAAAUUAGUGACACUAAUUGAUUUACAUUGAGGGUAUUUAUAAUAAAUGCUGCUAAUACUUUUAGUAAUUUUGGCAUAGGCAGCAUUUGGUGUCAUAUAUAUGCUGCUAAAACUUUUAGCAGCAUUUAUUGAUCAUUUAGCAGUAUAAAUAAAUGUCACUAAUGACUAAUUUUCUAGCAGUGAGAUAGCCAAAUUGAAUAUAUGCAUGAGCUUAUUUAACAUUCUGAUCAGAAUAUAAAUAGUAUAUUUUCCAGUAAAAGGUAGUCUUUUCCUCUUUUUGCAAUGAAUUAGCAUGAAUAUAUGCAAAUAGUUGAAUAUCAUGUAUAAAUGUUAAAAAUACCGUUCUCUGGUGGUUUAAGCGUUUUGCGAUAAAUGGUUGUUUUACAGAAUUUUUAUAUGGUGUCAGAAUAAAAGAUCCUAAGUUCUCUAACGCCUAUGUCCAUCGAAAUCUUAGUUUUUGAUGCAUAUAUGCUAAGAAAAGCCAAUUUUGGUGGGCAAUAUAUAUUAGAAACUUUUUAAGAAACUAGAUCGUACCUUCUGCCAUGAUUUCGAUUUCUGUACCCGAUUUGUAAGAGGCGAUCUUUACUCGUGGUUCGUCCUCGUUCGUGAUCUGUAAGAAGACGCGGCGUUUCGAGUCUAAUUCCCUUAUCCCUGGAGAUGGAGCCGUCACAGACAAUUGGAUUAGGUUAGACCGGGACUCCCGUAUGUUACAUAUUUAUAUAUAACUUAAUAUAAGGAUGUUAAAUCACGUCCGUCCAUCAAGGACGUGUCCAGAUACAUCCUAACCGUAAAAUUUAAAAUAUCUUUAUAGAUCGACUUAAAUAGAUUGACCGUAUCUUUAUGAAUCGCCUUGAAUAUAUCACGUGGGCCACAUCCAACAUUAUAUGCUAUAUGUUAAAAACUGAGCUUACGUACAAAGGGUAUAAAUAAAAAGACUUAUUUACAACUGUAUAAAGAUAAAUAGAAUUAAUUAACCAUUUUACGUGUGUGUUCAUUUUCGUGCAUGCAUGUGUGUAAUAGAGACAAAGUGAGCAUUAAUUUUUUCCUCGUGUCUUAUGUACGUAUCUUUGCAUGCACAGAUCUAGAGGUACAAGGAAAAGAUCAGAAGAGCUGAGAUAUGAGUUAUAAUGAAGACAAAAGAAUAUAUAUUAUCUCACAAGCUUCCACUGCAAAGUCAAAAAACUCCAUUGUAUGAUUCUAUUUGGAGGCUAUAUAUAUACCCCUACGUACUCUAAAUAAGGGAGCUAUCACUUGAUAUUUGAUACCUUUUAAGAAUUAUAUUUGAUAUGUUGAAGAUUUGAAUCUAGUUUGUACGAGCAAAUACAAAUCAAAUUGACAAAUUUAAUAUGGAAUUAUAUGACAAUAAAUGCACUUUUUCAUGUUCAAAUCGUAUAGUGUUCUAAUUAUGUGUUUCAAAUGUGGUGAUAAAUUGAAAUUAGCUAAUUAAUACCUAUUGCUAGCUAGAUUGCGGGAACCGGAUGAAAAGUUUUAUUAUAUUAUUCAAAGAUCAAUCAGAUAGAAAAUAAUAUAUAGUAGAAAACGGAGCUUAACAGGAAAGCGAAGCAUAUAUAUUUAGAAGUCGCUAUCCUCAUCUUGGGGGGAACAACGCAUGUCUAAACGCCGUGGGCAUUACGAAACGCACCCCCUACUUAGAAGAUACUAAAAGAGAGGAAAACAGGUUGUGAUAGUGGAGGUUAGCAUUCGACGCACGUGAUGGACCCAAAGAUACACAGGAAAAAUAAGUUAUAAGCGGAGAAGCAACUGGAUGCGACUCAAUAUCGGAUAGUGUAGGGAGUGUUUAUAGGAUAGUGAUGGUUUUGAGUGGCAAGGGACCACCCAAUAUGGGAUAGGAGUGUUUAUAUAUAUAUGAACACAAACAGUGUUUGUAGCACCUAACAAUAUCCAUUUCACGUGGACCACCAAUUUGGAAUGUUUUUGGAUCUAAGUUUAUACACGUAUAUAAAAGUUUAUAUAAUAUGGCUAGAAUAUUUCCAAAUGUCUUUGAUUCAAUAAUUAAGAUUGAUGAAGUAUUUUGAGUAAAUUAAAGCUUGUCCCAUACAGGGAUCUAAGUAAUAUAACUUAGAAUUUCAUAUUUUCGAGUUAAUUAGGGUUUGUUUCUCCAUAUUUUUACUUCUCUUAAUUAGUUGCAACAAUAUGUAGUGAAUAUUUUAGAGAUAAAAAAAAUUGCAUAUAUUGGCAUAAUCAACUCCAAAAUAAUAAUUUGUGCCUAGCUGAUCGAUUAAAAGAAUGAACUCUAAUCUAAAUUUGUUUUUUUUUUUUUUUUGAGAGAUAGGUAGCACGCUACCCGCUUCGUUUAUUUCAUUUAGAAAUAAACUUAGCUAGAAAAUGUGAAUCAAUUAGGAUUUGAACUUGAGUCUGGGGUACCAACCAUCAAACCCUUUACCACUUGCUCUAGGGACGGUCGGUUCUAAUCUAAAUUUGUUAGCUAACUAAUUAAAUAUAUAUAUUUACUAUUUAGAGCCUUUAAUUUACAAUAUUUCUUAUAAUAUACGAUACUAUGCGAACAAUUAAUGUUUUUAUCCAACAUUACUAAGUUAUUAAGUUUGCUAGAAAAUGCAUUAAUUGCCAUUUAUAAUUGGUUGCGCAAAUGUUGUCUUGAGAUGGAUAUAUUCUUAUAAUAACUAAUAAAUUAAUACACUGACCGACUGUCCCUAGCGCAAAUGGCAAAUGGCUUGAUGGUUGUUAUCCGAGGUCCUAGUUCGAAUCCUAGUUCAUUUCUAAAUGAAAUAAACGAAUUGAGUAGNAAAAAAAAAAAAAAAAAAAGGCUAACUAAGGAAUAUGAACAUGGGUGGGAUAAGCAUUCCUUGUUAAAUAAUGUGAAAGAACCAUUGUGUUUCUUAAAGCUUAAAUUAUUAAAGAAUAGUAUAUUAAUACUUUAUAUUCAACAUUCUUUCUCACAUCUUGACUCGAGACAUUUUAGUAUGCCCAAGAUGUGAGAUAAUUAAACUAUAGAAAAAUUAUUUACCUCUAAAAGCUUCAACUAUCGGAGAAUGAUAUUUUACUACUAGAAGGAUAAUUUAUUUCCAGAGCACUGCUACCAAUGCACCAGUAACACUGUGGACCCUACGCUUUCUAUGAUUUUGAUUUACCCACUGGUCUUAUCAUUUUUUUAAUGAUAAAAAAUUUUAAAAAAUUUAAAAGUUUUUGAAUAUUGCAAGGUAUAAGAUGUACACAAGUCUCUUUAUAGAGCAUAAAAAUUAGCAUUUUUCAAAACAAACAAAUGAUGCUGUCCCUGAUAUAUAUAUUUGAAGAGCAUUUUUUUUUCUUUUUGUUUAUAUGCCCAAAUAUUAGCUUUAAUUGUUGUGCAAUGGGGCUAUCAUUAAAAUAGAGAACCAAACACUAUAAUGAGCUAGGUCAAGUUUCCCAAAGGUUGUCUAAUUAGAGAAAUAUGGCUAGGUGCAAUUACGAAGCUUGAUGCAUGUGGAUUAACUUUACACACAUGCUACUUAUAAACUCAUUGCAUACAAUGUCAAAUGUCACUAAUUUAAAAUUGUUUAGACAAGCCAAAAAGAAAAUUAGAUCUAAGAACCUCCUCGGUUAGGGCAAUAUGUAGAUGCUAUUUUUUAAAAAAAAUAAAAUGCAGGACAAUGAUUGGUUUAAAUUUCUUAGCCAUUUAUUUUUAUAUUCUCAUCCCUUUCUUUCCACUAAAAACAAUUAUAUAUAUAUGUAUAUCUAUAAACUAAGUGUAAAAUUUACAAGUACUACUACUUUUAUUUUACUAGUCAUAUUAUUUUUUUUAAUGAAUUCGAUAGAUGAAGUAUAAGAUUUACACAUAUUUAUUGAUGAUCUUAUGAAUAUUAUAAAACAAUUUUAUUUUUCUGUGGCCCCCACGCCCCAACAGUAGAAUUCAAGUUCGAAUUUGCUAUUACUCCUUCAAUCCAACAAUACCUUUUUUGACUUCGUUCGAAAACGGAAUUAUAUAUGUUCAAAUAAAGUAUUAAAGUUGCGUAGAGAAUCUUUAUAAUUAGCAAAAAUUUGGCAGGGAACCUCAACACUGAAAAUGCACAAAAGUUUAAUUGCCCAAAUUAAAUAUUUGGUGUCACUUCAUUGAUUAAUUGGUAUGUAUGAAAAAAUGGAUAAACUAGAUGCAUGCAAUAACUUUAAUUUUAAGACAACAUAUAAAUUAAAAUUUUAUUCCCACAAGGAAUAUCAAAAUAAUUAAAAAUUUAAGAAUUAAAAAAAAACUGGACUCAAUUUUUAUAAGAUAAACUUUAAAUACCACCCCAUAGUUUUGCAUCUUAAAUACCAUCCCUAUGAUUUAAAGUGUAUCAAUUUAAUACCUUCUGAUUUCAUUUUUCUUUUUCGUUAGCCACUUUAUUAACUUAUCGUUAAAUCAUACAUUAAAAACGUGAGAUGUCUUAUCUAUAGUUUAUCGAAUAUUUAUUUUAGUGAAGAGGAUAAUAAAAAAAAUUAAAAUAAAAUUAUAGAGUACAAAAAUAAUAUACCUUAAAUCAUGAGAUAGUAAAGUAAGAAAGUGUAAAACCACAAAAAAGUGGUAUUAAAAGGUUUUUUAUUUUUAUAAGCUAAUUAGCGCAAUGUUUUACCAGUCAUUAAUUUGUACACUAAUUAGCCAAUCAUACUUUUUCUAUUCAAGGUCCCCACGUGGGGCCCACGAACCAACCAAAUUGCAACAAAAGCCGAUCCAUCACAAUCAUGAUCACCUUCACUUUCCCGAAACAGUACCAACUACUAAAUCCGCACAUUACACUCCGACCAAUAACAACUUGUGCUCUCCCAAAAAUACACCCCAACGUCACCUUUUCCAGCUGUAUAGCAUAAUAUAUAUAUAUAUAUAUAUAUAUAUAUAUAAAAGCUUCCGAAUCGACGAUCCACUUCGUUAAAUAUGAUCUAGAGUAUUUGAAACUUCUAGAAAAUAAAUUUCGUAAAUUUUCAAAAUCAUAAUAAAGUCGAUCAAGUGGGCAUAAAAUGAACGGUCAAAAUCGAACGACGUUCUAAAAAAAGAUGAUCGGAUCUUUCAAUUCAAGAUCAGAGUUAUUGAUCUUUAUCAAUGUAGUGAAUAGAAUUUUCUAUCAAAAAUUCAACAAAUCAUGAUUCUUUUACACCGUUAAACUAGCAGGUAUCCCAUACCGACAGUUAAAAAUUGUCAAAUUUGUAACCUCAUGAUCGUAAGGUAAAUGAUGUCAAAAAUUUAUAAAAUUUGAUUUCUAGAUGUUUUAAAUGCUGUAAAUAAUGGUUAACGGUGUGGAUCGUCGAUUCAGAAGCUCUAUCAUCGAAAACAACUUAUGAGUACGAGGGCGAUCGUACUCAUAAUAGUAUAGUAGCCGGACUAUAUAUAUAUAUAUAUAUAUAUAUAUAUAGAAUGAGGCUACUAUAUUUCUGGAAGCACGGAGCCUUCCGUGUUUUCAGGUCGUUUUCGAUGUUGCGACUUUCGAAUCGUUGAUCGUCCCCGUUAAACUUGAUCUAGAGUAUUUGAAGUACUUAGAAAAUAAAUUUUAUGAUUUUUCGAUAUCAUUUGCCUAGUGAUCGAAGAGGGUCAAAAUCAAUAAUUUUAAAGACCGUGGUGAGCUGUUUGUAAGUUUAACGGUGUAGAAAUAUCCAAAUCACGUGAAAUUUUGAUAGAAAAUUCUUUAUACUAUAUAAAACAAGAUCAAUAUCUUUGAUCUAAAAUUUUAAUGUCAUAUUAUCAUAUUUUGUAAGAUUUUUAUUUUCAGCCGUUGAUUAUGAGCCCCUUAGUUUACUAGGCAAAUAAUAUCGAAAAAUUGUAAAAAUUUAUUUUCUAGGUAGUUCAAAUGCUCUAGAUCAAGUUUAACGGAGCCGAUCGACGAUUCGAAAGUCGCAACAUCGAAAACGACCUGGAAGCUCAGAAGGCUCCGUGCUUCUAGAAGCAUAGUAGCCUCUCUCUCUCUCUCUCUCUCUCUCUCUCUCUCUCUCUCUCUCUAUAUAUAUAUAGUGAGUCUGGUAUGCUUAUGGAAGCACGGAGCGUUCCGUGCUUCCACUUUGUUUUCGAUGUUCGGACUUUCGAAUCGACGAUCGGCUCCGUUAGACUUGAUCUAGAGUAUUUGAAGUAUUUUGAAAAUAAAUUUUGCGAUUUUUCGAUAUCAUUUGCCUAGUGAUCGAAGUGGCUCAAAAUCAAGAGCCCAAUAUUAAUAUUGGGUCUGGGCCUGGGCUGCGCCUUAAUUAUUUAAAUAAUUUUGGUACAAGUUCGAUCCAGAGCCCAAUAUUAAUUUUGGGUCGGGCUUGGCCAUAGUAUGACCCGACCCAAGCCGAGGCUAGUUCCAUCCUCAGGUGCUGCAAGGCGCGGGCCUCAGCGCCUCAACAAUACCAAGGCGCAACGCUAUUGUUGAGACGCGCCCCUUAGGCGCGCCUCAUAAUAUUUAAGUUAAAAUUAUUUUGGAUUCAAGUAUUUGGGUUCUCAGAUUUUGAAUUUGAUUCUUAUAUUAUAACCCAUUAAGUUAAAAAAUUCUAAAAGUAACCGAAUGAAACCCUAAAGAAAACCAGCUGCCCGCCCCCUCUCCCUCUCGUGUUCUUCCAUAUCCUCUCUCUGUCGAGCGUCCAACAACAGCAGCGCUAGCAGCAGGAACACGGGCUAGAUUUGCUGGGUUUAAUAAACCUAGCCAUCAUACACGGUUUACACUAUCAAUAAAAGGAAAAGGAAAUAGAAAAGAAAAAGUAAAUUUAAAAGGAAAUGAUAAGAUGUCGUCAUUUUGACUACAUUUAUCCAUUGAUGAAAAGCCAGAUUGGAUUGAUUUUAGGAAUAUAGAAGAAAAAGAGAAUAUUAGGUAUGAAAAAUCUGAAGAAGAAGAUUAUAGCGAUGUAAGCAAUGAGGAUGAGGAUGAUACUUAAAGAACGACCAAAUGAGAGCAUAGACGCCACAAUCACUUUUAAAAAUAUAUAUAUUUUUUAAUUUGAGAAAGUAUAUGUAUGCGUUUUUUUUUAUGGUUAUAUUAUUUUUGUAUGGUUAUUUGGAGUUUUUUUAAUGUAAAUGUGCCCCUCGCCUUCCCGAGGCGUGUGCUUCACGGUACGUCUCGCUUUUAGGCUUUAGGAAAGCUUUGCGUCUCACGUUUUUUCAAACGAUGUUGUCGUGUAAUAUUUAAUUUCUCAUUAAAACAUUCCAUCUUUGUUCUCACAGUAGUGGUGUUUUAAGUGUUGGUGUUGAGGCAUGUGAGAUGAUGCUGAGUAAAAGAUUCGCUUUCUUUUCUCUCAUGUUGGGUUCAGACUUUAGAAUGGAUUGGCUUUUGGAAAGAUUUUAUUUUUUUUUUUUUUUUUUUUUUUUUUUUUNNNNNNNNNNNNNNNNNNNNNNNNNNNNNNNNNNNNNNNNNNNNNNNNNNNNNNNNNNNNNNNNNNNNNNNNNNNNNNNNNNNNNNNNNNNNNNNNNNNNNNNNNNNNNNNNNNNNNNNNNNNNNNNNNNNNNNNNNNNNNNNNNNNNNNNNNNNNNNNNNNNNNNNNNNNNNNNNNNNNNNNNNNNNNNNNNNNNNNNNNNNNNNNNNNNNNNNNNNNNNNNNNNNNNNNNNNNNNNNNNNNNNNNNNNNNNNNNNNNNNNNNNNNNNNNNNNNNNNNNNNNNNNNNNNNNNNNNNNNNNNNNNNNNNNNNNNNNNNNNNNNNNNNNNNNNNNNNNNNNNNNNNNNNNNNNNNNNNNNNNNNNNNNNNNNNNNNNNNNNNNNNNNNNNNNNNNNNNNNNNNNNNNNNNNNNNNNNNNNNNNNNNNNNNNNNNNNNNNNNNNNNNNNNNNNNNNNNNNNNNNNNNNNNNNNNNNNNNNNNNNNNNNNNNNNNNNNNNNNNNNNNNNNNNNNNNNNNNNNNNNNNNNNNNNNNNNNNNNNNNNNNNNNNNNNNNNNNNNNNNNNNNNNNNNNNNNNNNNNNNNNNNNNNNNNNNNNNNNNNNNNNNNNNNNNNNNNNNNNNNNNNNNNNNNNNNNNNNNNNNNNNNNNNNNNNNNNNNNNNNNNNNNNNNNNNNNNNNNNNNNNNNNNNNNNNNNNNNNNNNNNNNNNNNNNNNNNNNNNNNNNNNNNNNNNNNNNNNNNNNNNNNNNNNNNNNNNNNNNNNNNNNNNNNNNNNNNNNNNNNNNNNNNNNNNNNNNNNNNNNNNNNNNNNNNNNNNNNNNNNNNNNNNNNNNNNNNNNNNNNNNNNNNNNNNNNNNNNNNNNNNNNNNNNNNNNNNNNNNNNNNNNNNNNNNNNNNNNNNNNNNNNNNNNNNNNNNNNNNNNNNNNNNNNNNNUAUAUAUAUAUAUAUAUAUAUAUAUAUAUAUAUAUAUAUAUAUAUAUAUAUAUAUAUAUAUAUAUAUAUAUAUAUAUAUAUAUAUAUAUAUAUAUCACUUUGUAGAGCUACUAUACUAUCGAAAGUAUAAAGUAGUUGGUGCUUUCGAUUUUUUGCCCUUUGAUCAAAAGUUCUACGGUUGGGAUGAUAGCGGUCCCCUUAGGUUUGAGUGGUCUCUCUAGGGUUGAAUGGUCCCCAUUGGUUAAUAAUAUUAAUCUAAUGGUUAGAAAUGAUCAAUGAGGUUGAUCUAGUGGCUAAAAAAUCGGAUGCAUCAACUACUUUAUUCUUUCGAUGGCAUAGUACCGCUACUAUAUAUAUAUAUAUGUACAUAUAGUCUGGCUGCUAUGCUAUCGAUAGCACCAAACACUUGGUGCUAUUAAGUUUUCUGUCUUUAGAUUAAUCCCUUUGAUUAUUUUUGCCCGUUAUAUUAUACUAUUCAACCAACCACCCACUCAACCCUAGGGGGCCUACAUCAUCCUAACCGUACAUUUUUCAAUCCAAGGGCUAAAAAACUAAUAGCACCAAUAGCUUGGUGCUAUAGCAUAGUAGCCUAGUUCUAUAUAUAUAUAUAUAUAUAUAGAGUACAAUUUUUGUGCUUUCGAAAGCAUGAAGGAUUCUGUACUUGUAAAUUAUUUUCGAUGAUCAAGACAUCCGAUUCAACAAUCUGCUUCGUUAAGUAAGAUCUAUGCUAUUAGAAUUAUUUAGAAACUAAAUUUUAUAAUUUUUUACAUUAUUUACCAAGUAAUUAAAUAGUCUAAAAAAUAACUAUUUUAACGGUUGAUGUGACACGCUUAUAAGUUCAAUGGUGUAAAAAGAAUCCAAAUUAUAUGAAACUUUAAUAGAAAAUUCUACUUAAUAUCAAGAGUAACAAAAAUACUUUCGAUUUAAAAUUUGAGUCUUUUAUCAUUAUUUUUUAUAAGAUUUUUAUUUUCAACGGUUCAUUUUGAGGUUAUUUGUUUUCUAGGCAAAUAAAAUAAAAAAUUUAUGAAAUUUGGUUUCUAAAUAAUUCUAGUAGUGUAAAUCAUUCCUUUAUCCAAUGAUCGAAAACUUAUGAGUACAUAGAAGCCUAUAUUCAUAAAAGUAUAGUAGCUCUAGGCUCUCUCUCUCUUUCUAUAUAUAUAUAUAUAUAUAUAUAUAAUUAAUCCUAGGGACUUGUAAUAUCAUCCCCCAUAAUUUAAUAGUUCUGUAAUUAGGUGACAAUUUAUUUCUAUUUAUUUAGCCACAGUGCGUGAUGUCACGGACUUAAGCUUUUAGCUUGCAAAGUCCGUGUAAUGCCUGCCUUCCUGUUCGAAGAUGAGCAAGUCUGUCUUCAUCUUACUAGUCCGAACCUCCACGUCUUCAAAAGCUAUGGUGUGUUUGUUUGGGUGAAAGUGAGGGAGAAGUGGAGAGGGGGGAAGAUGUUUACGCCGUAAACUAUCACUUUCGUUGUUUGUUUUGCCGUAAUUUUAUUACGGCCGAAAGUCGAGUUCAUCCAAAAUAGGAUAAUUGACUUCGCUCUCCCACGGGGAGAAGUCAAUUCCGGUGAAGUGCAAAAAGGCAAAGGAGCAUGUUAAAUUUGGUUAGGUAAUGUGAUCAAAUUUGGUUAGGUAAAUUUUACUAUAUUUUUUUGUCCAAUUUGUAUAUUUAGAAAAUGAUAAAAAAUAAAUUUGUUAAAUGUUAAUAAUUUUUUAACUUUAGAAUUUUAUUUGUUACAUUAUUAUAAUUUAUAUGCAAACAAAUAAUAUAAUUUUUUAAAAUUUUAUUUUAUAAUUAUACAUAUAUAUAAUUAUAUACAUAUAUAAUUAUAAUAAUUUUUAUUUAUUAUAAUUUAUUAUUCACUAAAUUACAAAAUAGACAAUAAUAUCACUUCGGAGGUAAGUAUACCAGGGGUGGAGAGCUACACAUUUUACGUCAUCUACUUUUUAUCAAACAAACAACAGAACUCACAGAACUACAUUUCCACAGUUAGAAACAAACAACAGAAGUGAAUUAAUUUUGAUCUAAACUCCACUUCAACCCAAAGUCCAUUUCCACCCCAAGUCUAUCUGCGUUGAAACAAACAUAGCCUAUAAGAGCAAGAAAGAGUAAACGAGAGAGAGAGGGGGAUAGAAAGUUUGUAAAAACUAAAUACUCUACUAUAUAGAAAUAGAAAUUACAGAUACAUUCUCUCUUUCUUAUACUUAAUUUUUGAUAGCGCGGAGGCCCGUAUUAGCAAGAUCGAGACAGAUUUGUCCAUCUUCACGAAGGAAAGCGGGCGCCGCACAGGUUUUGACAAACAAAAUUACUAAGUCUGUGACAGCAAGCUCUAUAAAUUUAAGCACAUAAGGUUCGCAUCCGAAUAUCUAUAUAUUACAAGAUUAUUUACAGUUGGAUAUUAAAAUGUUUUUUUUUUUUUUGAGAUAUAGGUAUCAUGCUACCCGCUUCGUUUAUUUCAUUUAGAAAUAAACUUAGCUGGAGAUAUGAAUCAACUAGGAUUCGAACUUGGGUCUCGGGUACCAACCUCCAAGCUCUUUACCACUUACUCUAAGGACGGUCGGUGGGUAUUAAAAUGUUCAACCUUGAUAAGAGCAAUAUAUAGUAGUAAUAAGUGGCACAGCCAAUUUGGCCUUGCGCAGGCCUAAACACUCUAGCUACUCUCGCGAUUGUUACGCAAUAUGUUUGCUCAAUGUUCAGGUAUUUGGUCUACACUCAAACGAUUGCAAAUUAUUUUAUUUGUAGAAAAUAAGUGUGUAUUAAGACGCAAAGUACGUGGGAUGUUGAAAUGUACUUUUUUUUUCAAAUAUAUUGAUUAAAUCAUUCGUACAAAAUUUUUUGUGCACUGAGUCUGUAAAAAUAAAUAAAUAUCUACAAUCCUAGAUCAAAUGAACUCUUCUUUCCAUAUUGGAUUUGAACAAUGGAAACUUGGGUUUAUAAUUAUUUUUGGUAAUAAUACUGGGCUUAUCAUUAAAUACGUACAUCAAAAGGUACAUCAAAAGGGGUAAGGGAAUGUUGGUCCACGAGAUCAUCCAUAGGAAUAGGUAAUUAAUUUUUUUAAAAAAAAAAUACAAAGAAAGCCCACCACCUCGAUCGGAGGGCCGAGGCCCCUCCACGUGGCGUGUCAGGAAGCGACGGCCCCAAUGAGCCCGGUCGCGUCCACCCAGGACCCCUUCCUCGGGCCUCGGACCGGCGGGUCUGAGCCCCGGCCGGCCGGGUGUCGGCUCGAUGCCGGGCGGUUCGGGGGCAAGCGGCCGGUCCGGUUCAGCCGCUGCCCCCCUCUCCUGCUCCCGGUUCGAGCCGGCGUCGGCGUCACCCUCGCUACGGACACGUGGCCUGGUCGAUAGAAUAGGGCGACAUAGGGAGAAAGCUCCAUGAACCCGAUCCACCGGCUCACUGAAAAGAAUGAUUCUCAAAUUGUCCUCUACAUCACCUGCUCAAAUUUUUGAGUUUCAGAAUACACAUAGCAGGGUUGCUGUGGUCAUAGGAUUGUCGUACUCUUAAGCCAUUUUUUAUAAUGAAAAUUUCAAAUCGACGAUCGUCUUCAUUAAAUUUGAUUUAGCAUAUUUGAAGUAUCUAGAAAAUAAAUUUUGUGAUUUUUCGAUAUUAUUUACCUAGCGAUCGAUAAAGUUCAAAUUUAAUUAUUUAGGAAAAACUUGAAAAACCCACCUUGGGGUUUCGCACUUUCUCACUUUAGUACUCUGUGUUUUAAAGUGUAUCAAGUUAGUACUCUGUGAUUUUAUUUUUAUAUCAAGUACUACCCUGCGGUUUUAUUUUUGUAUCAAGUUAGUACCCUACACUUUUAUUUUUUUCUUAAUGAAAUAUUAAACCUUAUGGUACUAAAAUGAGAAAGUGUAAAACCACAUGGUACUAAUUUGAUACACUUUAAACCGCAGGGUACUAAAGUGAGAAUGUGCGAAACCACAUGGUACUAACUUGAUACAUUUUAAAAUACAUGGUACUAAAGUGAGAAAAAGUGAAACCACAGAGGGGGUAUUUGAAGUUUUCCUAAUUAUUUAUAAUGAUUAAUGUUUGUCAUUUUCAAGUUUAACUGUAUAAAAAUAUUCAAAUCAAAUAAAAUUUGUUAGAAAAUAUUUUAUACUAUCUAAAUCAGAUUGAAAAUUUUAGUACUAUAUCAUCAUUUUCUGUAAAAUUUUUAUUUCUAGCCACUGAUUUUACACCUUUUCGAACACUAGUUAAAUAAUAUUGAAAAAUCGUAAAAUUUAUUUGUUACAUAUUUGAAAUACGCUAAAUCAAGUCUAAAAGAGUCGAUCAUCAAUUUGAAAAUUCUCUCAUCGAAAACAUUUUCUCCAUUUGCUUCUACCAGCUCACCAGUUCUUUACACACACACACACACGCACACACACAUAUAUAUAUAUAUAUAUAGAGAGAGAGAGAGAGAGAGAGAGUAGAGCUAGAAUACUUGUAAAAGUAUCACCCAAGUGAUACUUGUGUGUUUUUAGCCCUUGGAUGGAGAAAUGUGAGGUUGAGAUGAUGGUGGUAGGUGGUGGUAGGUGGUGGUAGGUGGAAUAGUGUUUGAUCCAAGGACUAUUAGUAAUCAAAAAGUAGAUCCAAUGGCUAAAAACACACAAGUAUCACUUGGGUGAUACUUGUAAAAGUAUUCUAGCCCUACUCUCUCUCUCUCUCUCUCUCUAUAUAUAUAUAUAUGGGUUCAUGGUGGACCAGGUCCAGCGUGAUGGGUUGCGGACAUGGGGGAUGAUUAAUCGUCCGGAUGAUGAUGAUGAUGAUGCGAUGGUAACGUAAUCAGUAAGGCAGUAAAGUGACUAUUUUCUCUCUCCUCUCUCUUUCUCUCUCUCUCUCUGCUCCGUUAACCUUUUUUAAUUUUUUGUUCUCUCUCUUUUUUCUUUUUUUUUUUUCUUUAAGCUUUUUCGGUUAGCAGCUUUUCUUUACUGCUCAUUCCUCGAUUUUUUCAAGCACAAUCAUGAUGGUUUUUUCGCGGGUGUCGCGCGACCAGCACCAAAUAACCUUUUUCUUUUUUUAAAAAAAAAUAUAUAUUUUUUUUUAAUUUUUGGGCGCUGGGAUCGAUGAGGGUGUGAGCUAUUUUUACCGCUUAUUUUUACGUGGAACCAAAUAUCGCCUAAGCUGAUUGUGCUCGCUAUAGCUAUAUUUUAUUGAGCGAGUCAGAAAGGCUGAUCCAGUUUUAGUGUCACCUCAAUACUGUUGCGACACUAAUUUUAAUACAUUGGUUUGAAAUUUUGGACGCCGCAGUAUUUCUAAUUAUUUUAUAUAAUUAAAAUUUUAAAUUUUUAUGAAUCAGAUUAUUAUUAAUAGGAUAUUGCUACGCUUAAUUUAAUUCAGAAAGAUAAUAUUGGAUUACGACACAUGUAAAAUUAUUGUGCUUGGUCCCGGCGAGCAAGUGUUUGGGAGGAAACGGAUAGAGAACUAGAGAGAGAUCUACAGAAUAGAGAUAAGGAUUGCUACUCAAGUUUUGGUGCGAUGAAAAUAAAAAGGUCACCGACCAUCCCUAGAGCAAGUGGCAAAGGAUUUGAUAGUUGGUACCCGAGACCCAAGUUCAAAUUCUAGUUAAUUCACAUUUCCAGCUAAGUUUAUUUCUAAAUGAAAUAAACGAAACGGUAGCAUGCUACCUAUCUCUUAAAAAAAAAGAAAGAAAAUAAAGAGGUCGGAAGAGGUUUGAGAGUGGGAAGGAUUAAUUUUAAAUUUUUUUAUAAAUUACAGGAUAAUCCACAACAAAUAAUGCAAGAUUCCCUCCCCCUCUCCUAUAAUUUUUUUUUUUGGAAAAUUCUGUUUUGUUAAAAAUUCUGCGUUACUUAAAAAAUUAUAUGUGAGAUGAACUAAACGUAAUGAUAUGAAAAAAUUUGUAUUAGAUUUUCAGUAAUCAUGGCAGGGCAGCAUGAACCAAACGCAUCCUUACCGUACCGUACCAGGCCACUUGUCUUUCAGCAUUUUUGCCUAACCAAAGUUUGUCUAUUGAGAUUAGCAUCUUCACGUAGAGUGCGAAGGUGAGAGCAUUUCGAGCGAGCGGUGGUGCCGGAGAGUAGAGGCAUUUAACUUCAGCAAACCUCCAGUACUGCAAAGUCGAGAUCUGAAGUAAACAACGAACUCGACAGUUCAGCGCACUCGCGACCUCUCGGAAACAAAACAUACCCUUAUUCAUAUAAGUGACUAGUAGUAACUAGCAAAGGACAGAUUCUAUCGGCCCAGUAUGAUGGGCCAUGCCUCAAUUUUGAACUCUUUUCGAAGCGAGCAUCGGGCCAACCCAUCUUGAUAUAUAUUUGUGGCAUCCAUCUUGUGAAGCUGAAUUCUCGAUUAAUUUAUUUUCUUAGGUCUUGUUUGGAUGCCAGAAUAAGUUAUUCGAAGAUAACUUAAUCAGUAUGAAAUUUUUUUUUGUGUAGUUAGAAGGUAAUUAGGAGUUUGAUUUUCACUCUUUAAAUGGUCUUUCAAUUUUUGAGUUCAUUGAAUAGUAUAUCUCAAUCACUAGAUAAUUUAUUUUAUUUCGAAAAUAACUUGAAUGUUGACUAUACUAUUGUAUUUUAAACAUUUGAUCAUGCUCUUAACUUUUUUCAGAUCGUAUAGAUUGUUACUGAAUAACUUAUUCCGACAUCGAAAUAUGACCUUAUAUAUGGAUGAGAUAUAUGAUAAACAAAUUGUUCGUCGGUCCCAACGGGCCCUAACAAAUUUUUUAUAGUUUUUUUUUUGAGUAAACAAGGGUGAACCCUAUUUUGUAACAAAGGAUCGAAAAGCGAAAUGGAACACAAUACAACUUCGCCUUUCGGUUGGACCUGGACUCUUACACAAAGACCGCAACAAACCAACUAAUUACGCAAUUACGCCGACCUGAACAGGACAGUAACAAGAAACCAGCAGAAAACUACGGGUGAAAAGGAGAAGGACCAAGAGCUUGGCAAAUUAAGGGUUCCAGAACACCGAAGUCCAAAGUUUCACCAUGCUGAGGACCCCUUUUCCCAGUUCAUCGCUUUGUGUUGUCCAAUCAUUGAAUAUUCUCAUGUUCCGCUGCUUCCAUAGUUCCCAGCAGGCUGCUGCAAAACACACAUCAAAGAAAGUAAUUUGCCGCCCCCUCAAAGACCCUCUUGCUCGAAUCCACCGAGUAGAUAAGUCGCCAGAAAAGUUGGACGGUAACAGAUGUUGUGCGCUUCGAAAACCCCGAGUGAUCCGGUUCCAUACAGAUCUCGCAUAGGUGCAGGAGAAAAGGAUAUGUUCUAGGGUCUCUUCAUUGCUAGAGCAUAGAGCACACAUAGACGGGCCAUACCAGCCCUUCCUAGCAAGAGUAUUCGCAGUAAAAAUUCUAUUUCGAGCAGCAAUCCACAGAAAUACUUUGACCCUCGAAGGGAUUUUUAGUUUCCACAGAUGCGGAAUUUUGCAGUCGCUCACUCCUCCAAAAAUAAAAAAAUCAUAAGCACCCGUACCGAGAACAUACCGUUGGAGCUCCAGCGCCAAUAAGUCGAGUCACCCGAUACGGACAGAGCGGUGCUCUGGAUCAGCGAAUGAAAAUGUGGCAGCUCAGCCUGUUGCUCCGGAAGUAAUUGAGAAGGAUCGAAACCCAGGUUGGCCCUAUCCGUGAAUCGGCGAAACCAGUUGUUAACCGAGAGAUAUUUAAGGCUCGAAACGGUAUACAGUCAAAUUUUUUAUAGUGGACUCAGUAUUUAGACCCGAACCCGACAUUUACAACUUUUACCCACCCACGAGCUCUAUUGUAGUAGAGUCAUAGUUGACCUGUCAAAUUUUUGUUAGGUGAAUCUUUUAAGCUGAUUUGCACUUUUAAACUUAAUACUAUUAUGUAUUUGCCCAUUAACUCAGUUGUAUCAUAUUCCAAAUCUCAUACCUUGCCUUUCACGAAACAUUUUAAACCCGAUAUGUAUUUAAACCAAAGACUUGUAACUGUCAUAGUUUAAUUUGAAUGCUCAAAAGCAUAUAUAACUCGAGCCAAUCUGGGACAAUGUCAACUCUCUUUUUUUUAUUUAUUAGCAUUAGUAAGGGCAUUUUUGUUAAUUCGUGAGAUUAGGGCUAUUCAUUGAGCUUAGUUAUUCGAGAACAACCCGUGUUUCGCUCAUAACUCGGCUCGAAUGGCUUAGUUAAUAAACGGGCCAAGUUUAAACUUAGUUCGCUCGCGUUCAGUAUGAUUACACGUGUUAUAAGUUUGUUUUAUGAGUGUUUGUGUAGAAGGUUCCAUCUGUUUCAACAAAUGCAUAAAUUUAGUACAACGUACGUUACUCUUUUUCUCAUUAAUCUAAAAUAAAAUUUUAUGAACUAUACCGAUGAGCAAGUGGCAAAGGGCUUGAUAAUUGGUACCCAAGACUCAAGUUUGAAUUCCAGUUGAUUUAUAUUUCUAGCUAAGUUUAUUUCUAAAUAAAAUAAACGAAGCAGAUAGUGUGCUACCUAUCUCUCAAAAAAAAAUUUAUGAACUAUGUGGAAAAAAUAAUAAAAGAAGGGGCCUGGGUCUUAAUGAGCCCAAUUCAUAUUUCCCAGAUGCCCAUUUUGGGACAAAAAUUUUGUGGGCAUUCGUGCCCAAACAAUUGGGCACGGAUGCGGAUGGGCGCCGCGUGUGUACGGGCGCCCAUCACCACCCCCCUUCUCCUUUCUCUCUCUUUCUGAAAAACGGUCGCGAUGGGCGCCGCACACCACGUGGCGCCCAUCGGCACUGUCCCCAAAGAAAAUUGUUUGGCGACCAUGCCCACCAAAUUUUUGUCCCCCAUUUUGCACGUGCGAAGCACUAACGGUGCGGAGAAGCCCCACCAGCAAAUCUUGCGGGUCGACCUCAGAAGACCAACUAAUGGGGAUUCUCUUCCUGCACCGGGUCAACCAUUUCGUUAAAAAAAAAAAAAUCAACCCCUAAUAUUAUUCAGUAGAAGGGGACUUUAAAUAAAAAUAAAAUAAUUAAAUGUAAUAUAGAAUAAAGAUGCUCUUAGAUACAAUAUAAGAAAUAUAUUUCUGAAAUAUGUUAUAUUGAGUGUAUUGGUCAUUUAGAUACUAUUAUCGAUUACAACUAAAAUUUCAAUUUUGGAGAUUUUAUGAUGAAUGUUCGUAUACUGGUUCAAUACAAUUUUUUUUUAUACCCGGUGAUCUAACUAUACAUUUAGACAAAUUUAUAUCUUCUGUUUAGAUAAACGUUAUAAUUUAAUGUAUAGUAAUUUUCUAUACAUAUCAAAAUAUUUGUAUCCCUUCAGUUUUAAAAUCUGCUUAUUUAAUGGUUUAUUUUUCUAAUAGAAUCGCAAUAUAAUUGAAUAAUAUGUUAUAAUUUUUUAUUAUUAUUAAUAUUUUAACUUUAGGCACCCUAAUAUUUCUACAGUUCCAAAAUAGAUCCUUUAUAGAGAACCGGUCUAUAGUUAUCCGGUCCACGCAAUAAUUUCCACCAGCCCAAAGAGGAGGGAAAAAAAAGAAAAAAGAAAAGAAAAAUUUCCCCCAAACUCAAACGGGUCUAUUUCCCAUAACCGUUAUAUUAAUUGCUUGGUAAAUAGCAAGUUGAUCGUGACGGGGAUGAUGCUAAAAAAUCGAGUUUUAACAUGUUUAACUCGCUAUAUGAUCUUGUUUAUUGAAGAAUGGUCUUAAUAUAACUGUUUUGUUCAAGAAAUGUAAUAUGAUUUCAGCAGAGAUGCACUACAUAUCGUUUGUGUGAUAAUCUGAUAACAAAGUACAAAAUUGCUACCGUUAUAUGCUUGUCGAGAUCACCAACAAUUUCUUUGGACUGAUAUUAACUUAUUAAUUCCCGUUCGCAGUUGUUCCGGUUCUCUUUGACAACAGCUUGCGACAAUCAACGGGCGAUUGCGCUGUGAGUUUCGACCAUAUACUUGGUGUAGAGCCGGCGAAGUUAAAAAGCCCUCCUACCACCACUGACCGUCCCUAGAGCAAGUGGCCAAAAGCUCGGUGGUUGGUAUCCGAGACCCAAGUUCGAAUCCUAGUUGAAUAAUAUUUCCUUUAUUUUUAAAUAAAAUAAACGAAGCGGGUAGCGUGCUACCUAUUUCUCAAAAAAAAAAAGCCUGUUUUGACGUGUCUUGUUGCAUGAGAAGUUUCUUUUGCUCUGUUCAUAUUCCCAUUCGAUAUCUCUUAUCUUACUCCUGUAGGAUUUUGAGGAAUACCAAGGGAUUAAACUAAUUUCAGAACUUAUGCAGGAUGACCAGAAGGAUGAUAAUAUUAGGUUAAUCACUUAAAUUUCCAUCUUUGUGAUUUUUUUUUUUUUUUUUGUGAAGUUCAUAUCCAUGUAAAGUUAUGGUAUAACCUAUUCAGUAUCGGACAUUUCGCCCUUCCUCAAUGCUCGUGCUGGUGCUUUCCAUGCUUUUGUCAGGCUGAAAUGCGCCGAAUUCCCGCUAUUACUAACCGAGCAUGUGUAUGAAAAAGAAGAAUCAGUACAUGAAGAUAUCAGGGAUUGGCUUGGGGAGAAACGCGCGUCGCUUAUGCGGACUGCAGGCCAAUUUGGCUCAACCCUUGAUCCGGAGCAGAGAUCGACUGCAGUUCGAAACCAAGCAUGGCGCAUAUUAGAGUCCUUGGAGCUCUUAACUCUUGAGAAUGUUAACAAGUAAUGUAGCAGCCUUAUAUGUUUAGAAAAUGGACAGGUCCUUAUGAAACUUUUAUGUAAAAUUUGCUGGUUGGCAUCAAUCCAUGUGCCAAAUUCUAAACUGUAUGAUUUGCAUGUACCACAUAUUCAUCUUGUCGAGAUUCAAUUAUUGCUGUACAGGAACUAACAAUAUAGAGAAUCAAUAAUAUAUAUUCUUUUCGAAUCUCUUAUGAGCUGCAGUUUGGAAUAGUGAACUCUAUUAUAUAUGGAAAAGCAACCUGAACAAUUGUGUGCAAUCAUCCUUCUAGGGAUGUAAAACUCCCUAUAUUCAAUCUCACAAGUAUCUAAACAAGAUGAUAUGUUGUAGAGAAUUUCUGAAAAUAGCAACAUCCGCCAAUUCAGUAAGAAUGAGCACACCUUACAAACAAACUUUUGAAUUGGGACAAAAAUUGUUUACAUCCGCAUGCAGGAUUGCUACAGGUGGAAAGAAACAAUAAUAGACAUCAAAUUGAUCAUCAGCAUACUCGCCCGAAACAGCUUGCGCACAGAUGAAAAGCUCCAACUCAACGGGGAAAAGUGAUCAAGCCUCACGAGGUAUCAACCGAUUUGUGCGAAGUUAGUCUCAGGGGCAGGUUACACUGCAAGCAAAAAUUUUGUGAGCUGAUACAUUUGAGCACCCGAUCCGACACAUACUCUGAUCAAUCUCAAUGACCAAAUAGUGAUCACGAUACAGCAUGGCUCAAGCCUAAAUUGCUCAACUCCCUAAUUUGAAGGCAUCAACAAACAGACCGAGGCAUAUGCCGGCUUUCCAAUAAUUUACCAUCGCAACCAAAGACCGGAACCUUCCAACAGGCAUCGUGAACGGCUUUCUGUACAUAAGCAUGCCGAUCCCUUCAAUCGCAGCCACAACGACACCGGCGACAAGAACGUCCCAAUCGCCAGUUUGGCCUAGGAUGGUUGCGAGAGCAUUAGCUGUGUAGAAGCCCAAGAGGAGGAGGAAUAUCUUCAUGGGAAAGUUCUUUCUGGCGGCGUUCAGCUUCUCAAGAAGCUGCCUCGCAGCAGCUCCAGCUAUGGUGCCCAACCUCGUCCUGCCAAGGCCUCGGUUCUCUCCCUCGAGGUUAUUUUCGUCGUUAGGGUCGGGAGAUGCUCCUCCUCCUCCUGUGUCUAGAGCAAAUGCAAUCCUCCAUCUGUAACUUCUUACCUGACAGCUACACAAUUCGGGGGAAAAACCAACAAGGAAGCCUGUUAAUGUACAAGCCUACUUCAUUACUCCAGGUAUUUCUGCAAACAAAUCAUUUUUGCUUAAAUGCUUGCUCAAGAGCCAAUAGCAUAUUAUUGUUUCCUAUAAUUUAUUGUUCCUGUAAGUGCAGGCCUAUAUUCUUCGGCAAUAAUUGUGACGUCCGAAUAGUCUCGGAUGGAAAAAGAACUGCUUAUAAAAAUAUAAGGACCAAAGGCUUCAAUAAUAAUAAUAACUAGAUUUAAACAUUUUAGAUUAGCGUUUUGAAUCUAACGAGCUAUUAAUACUGACGGGCUAGGUUGUUGUAUUAAGAUAAAAAACAUAUAGAACUUACCUGAACUAUGUACCAAUUUGAGUUGACUACCGAACCUUCAAACUUUUUAUUUUAUAACCCAACCUUGAAAAAUUUUGAUUUGAGUCAAUCAAUGGCAUAUUGACUUCAAAAUUUACAAAUUUAGUUGGCAUACUUCAUGCAAUUUUCGUCACUAUAAAUUCAUUAAAUUUGACAAUUAGCUUAAAUUUUGAAGUUAAAGUAGCGUUGUCUAACUAAAAUCAAACAAAUUGAAAAGUUCGAUAGUAAAAUUAAAAUUUUGAUAGGUUGGAUAAUCCACUGAAAAUAAGCUCCGUAUCUUUUUGCCUUAUAUCAAUCACAUACUGUACAAUAACAUUCUAAUGAAUCUAAAUGGAUAUGGUCACAUAUUGUUCAAUGACAAUCAUAUUCAUGAAUGUUAUCAAACAGCAAGCAUAGCACUCAAAGCAAUGGAACUUAUUAUUAUUAUUAUUUAAAAAAAAUCUCUUUUGCUGCAUCAAAUUACACAACGCGCAUGCUUCGCUAUGAAAGAGCCAAAUUUUGAUUAAAAUCAACUGUACCUUGGAGGGGUAAAUGGUCGUUUACACGUCACGCCCACCUCCGCACAAGUUCUCAUCCCACUCCCCUGCGCCCCUCCGCAUAGAAUUGGACAAAAUCGACAAGAAGAUCCGUGCGCUAUAACAGUAGCCGUUCCCAUUCUCGUACUCACACCAUAAUUGUAAUUGUAAUUUGGGAGGGAGAGAUAACGAGGAAUUAGGGUUUCUUACGAAAGGGAUGAUGAAGAAGGGGGAGAAUCGCCCGUUCGGGCGACGGAGAGUUUUGGAGGAGAAGAGGCGCCCCAAAUCUCUCAUCACUGCAGUGAACCGGUUUAAACGGUGAACCGUCGGACCGGCUCGGGCUCUUCAACCGGUCCGAUCCGCGCCGGUCGAGGUGGAUCGAACGGGUCAGGCUUCAUUAAAAGUCGUGCAUGAGAUGGCACUCAUAGAGCGUUUCGAAUUCUAAAUUUUAAAAUCAGCAGAAACUGCUCAAACCUAUUUAUUAAAAUAUGAUUAUGAUUUUUUGACUAAAAUUUUAAAAGUUUUAUUUUGAUCUUAGAUUAAAAUUUUAAAUUUAAAUUUUAUUUGAAUUUUUAAAAUUUAAAUUUUAACUUUGAAAUUUUAAAUUUCAAAAGUUAAAAUUUUAAUUUAGAUAUUAAAUUUCAAUUUUAAAUUUCAAAUCUCAAAUUUAAUAUAAAAUUUAAAUUUCAAAAUUUUAGAAUUUAAAAUUAUAAUUUUUUAUUUAAAAAUCACAAAUUUCAAAAUUUAAAAAAUUCAAGAUUCAAUUUUUUUAUUUAAAUUUUAAAAUUUUAAAUUUUAAGUUUAAUUUUAGAUUUUAAAUGGUUAGUUUUAAAUUUUUAAUAUUUAAAUUUUAAAUUUCAAAUUUUCAAAUGUUAAAUUUUAAAUUUCAAUUUGCAAAUUUAGAUUUUAUAUUUGGAACUAGAAAUUUGAAUUUAGAUCUUAAAUUAAAAUAUCAAGAUUUAAAUUUUAAAUUUUAAAAGUAAAGAAAGAUAUAAUCAUGCUUAUAUAUAUUUAGCUAAAUAAAAUAGAUAUAAAAAAUAAUUAAUAAUAGUAAUUUUUAUUUUAGUUUUUUCAAAUUAUCUAUACAUCUAUACAUAUACAUUAAUCUCCAUGACUAAAUCCUACAUGUACCCACCCCUUCCUUCCAAUCUCACGCAAAAAUCAAAUUUCACCUACCUUCCGAACUCAUGCAAGAGCCAAUUUUCACCUACAUUCCUACCUCAUGCAAAAAUCAAUUUUCACCUAUCAAAACCAAUUUUCACCUAUCACCCAAACUCAUGCAAAUAUCAAAAACCAAUUUUCACCUACCUUCCUACCUCAUGCAAAAACCAAUUUUCACCUAUCAUCCAAACUCAUGCAAAUGGUAAGCUUAACUUACCCUCUCAAAUUACACUAUAAAAAGAAAUGUGAGAAAGCAAUUUUAUAUUCAUCCAAUAAUAUAUCUCCUUUUUAAAUAUGUUAGCAAUUGUUUUUGCACUGUUAUUCUUGUAGUAGUGAUUUUAUAUUUGCUAGUCGGAGAAGUCGUAUUAGGAGAUUAUGUAAAUAAUGUACUUUUACCUAAAUAUCCAUACUUCAGUAAAUCAAAUAUGGAUUAUGCAUCAGGGCAAGGUAUAUCCGUGCCAUGUCGUGUUUGUCUGUUUUUUAUUUAUUUUUUAUUUCUAAAAUUUUUAAUACUAGUUUACAAAGAGUAUAUAGUUGUUUAUUUAAUUUAUUACCAAAUAAACUUUAAAUAUCUUUUAUAUAGUUUUUUAUGAAAAUGUAUUUCAAAUUUGAAUAGUUUUCCCUCAAAACUAUUCAAAUUUGAAAUACUGAAAUAUAAGGUGCACCUUAUAUUUCCAAUUUUUUCCCCUCAAAACUAUUCAACUUUAAAAUACAUUUUCUUAGAAAACUAUCUAAAAGCUAUUUAAAGUUUAUUUGGUAAUAAAUUAAAUAAAUAACUAUAUACUCUUUAUAAACUAGUAUUAAAAAUUUUAGAAAUAAAAAAUAAAUAAAAAAAUAGACAAACACGACAUGGCACGGAUAUAUACCUCAUGCCUGAUGCAUAAUCCAUGUUUGAUUUACUGAAGUAUGGAUAUUUAGAUAAAAGUACAUUAUUUACAUAAUUUGCUAAUACGACUUCUCCGGUUAGCAAAUAUAAAAUCACUACUACAAGAAUGACAGUGCAAGAACAAUUGCUAAACAUAUUUAAAAAAGAGAUAUAUUGUUGGAUGAAUAUAAAAUUGAUUUCUCACAUUUCUUUUUAUAGUGUUAUUAGAGAGGAUAAGUUAAGCUUACCAUUUGCAUGAGUUUGGGUGAUAGGUGAAAAUUGAUUUUUGUAUGAGGUAGGAAGGUAGGUGAAAAUUGGUUUUUGCAUGAGGGCUUAUAUUUGCAUGCUAGUAAAUAUAAAAUCACUACGAGAACGACAUUGCAAGAACAAUAACCAAACAUUUUUAAGAAGAGAAAUAUUGCUGAAUGAAUGUAAAAAUGCAUUAAUCUCACAUUUCUUUUUAUAGUGUUUAUUAAAUAUCAAGAUCAACUUGAGAGGGUAAGUUAAGUUUACUUUUUCCAUGAGUUUAGGUCAUCACGAAAUCAGUAUGAAGUGGAAUAGGUAAAAAUUGGUUUUUCCAUGAGGUUGGAAGGAAGGGCAUGACAAAGUUAUGUUGAAGUCUCUAUUGCAAUAAUGCAAGUGUGAUAAGAAAUAUUCUCUUUAACUUUUAUAUUAUUUUUUUACCCUACUUGAGUUAUACUAGUUAAGUUUUUUAAAAUUUGAUUCCCUAUGAGCUAUUACCUUUUGAUUAUUUCUAUUUUUAUCUCUAAAAUUAACUAAAACUAUCAAAUUUGGUAUAAUCACAAAUAUAUUUGAUCACAAUGUAACAUAAAGAAGACACACUAUCCUAAUGACCAAAAAAAAUUGUGAAAUGAGAUGGAAGUUUUCUGGGCAAACUAAUAAAUGCCACCAAAAAAUACUGAAACAGAAAAUUAAACCAGUUUUUCUCGGGAUUAGUAUUUCAAAUUAUCCUGAAUCCUUGAGGAGAAAGAAAACCAAUGAUUGCAACUUUCAACUAUAUCUGGAGAGAAGCCUAGUCUGUGUAUAUAUAUAUCCUGCUAUUAUACUCUUAUUAGAGUGCUUGCGUUUGGUUCAGCUUAUCUUGGCAAGAUUAUAGGCAAUCCUGCCAGAAUUACUGUGUUUGGUUCAUCCGGUAUGUAAUAUGUUCGGUGUUGAAGUGCUACAAAAGAUGUAAGAUUACAUCAAAAAUAUUAUCAGUAGUGUGUAUCUUGGAUUACUGAAGACGACUAAUUUUGUAUGUUAUAUAAAAUUAUAAGUUUACUCUUUCAACCCUUUCAGUAUGUCAUUUUAAAAAUUUUAAUUUAAAAUUUUGAAUUGUCAAAUUUUAAAUUUUAAUUUUCAAUUUUCAACUAUCAAUUUUUAAUUUUUAGAUUUUAACUUUUAAAUUUUAAAUUUUUAAAUUUUAAAUUUCAAACUUCAAAUUUCAAACUUCAAAUUUUAAAUUCCAAAUUUGUAUUUUGAAUUCUAAAUUUUAAAUUUAGAAUUUUAAAUUUUAAAUUUAUAUUUAUAUUUUAAAUUAAAAUAUUAAUAUUUUAUAUUUUUGUUUAAGUUUAAAAUUUAAAAUUUAAAUUUUUUAAAAAAAUUAAAUUAUUUAAAAUAAAAGUAAAAAAUAUUAUUUGUAAACAGUAAAAAAAAGUUUGUCAAAUAUGAUUAAGGGCAAUUUUGAAAUAGACAAUACUUUAUUGUCAAGAUUACUGAAUAUUAUAGACUGAACCAAAUAUAGUAAUGCUAUAAACACUGCAAUCCAGUACUAUAUUACUGUAUUAAAUCAAACGCGCUAACACAGUAUCAGUAGUAAUUUCAUUUAAAAAUUUAAAAUAUCUGAAUAUAUCAAAAUACUCCGUAAUAUGAAGACACCAUACCUAGGUUGUUUAUCUACUAAAUCGUGAGACUUUUCUUUUUGUUUAUACGCAUGGUAUUUAGUUUUCAUGUACUGUAGAAGUGACUAAGCAACACAUUUUUUGCAAUAAAAGAAAUAUUAAGAAAGAUAGUUUUUAUUAUGAAUUUUGAUAAAUUAAUAAGUUUUUUAUUUGAUUAUAUAUAAUCAUUUAGUUUGACGAAAGACAAGCAAAACUAUGCAAGAUUUAGAAAACUCGAUUUAUCCGCUAGAGUUAAAGUAAUUUAAAAUAAAAUAUGGUUGAUAGGUUAAAAAACUGUAAUAGAAUAAAAUUGAGUAAAAAUUUAUAGGGAUAUUCUUAAGCGUAGAUAUAUUUUGGAAAUAGAGGGGUAUGGAGAUAAAAACCAUAUAUUGUACUAAUCAUCAAUUCCUGCAUUGUAUAUGGAUAUUUUAUUAAAUAAUAAAAUAAUUCUAAUGAAAAAAUCUAUCUUAAAAUUUAUAAAAGAAAUUAAAACUUAAUUAUUUGUAGAUAAUUUUAUUCAAUAAGAUUAUAUAACAUGUAAAAUUUUUAGAUAAUAUUAUCUAGGGCAAUUGCUUAUAUGCUUGUGAAAAGUUCCAAUUUUUUACUUGUUCCGUUAAGAAGACUAAUAUAAAAAAAAGGGCAAUUGCUUAUAUUUUUCGACUUUUUGAUUUACCUCUCUUAGAAGGCUAAUAUUGAAAAUACAUUUUUUACAUUCCAACCUAUUUCUAAUAUAUUUCUAGAGUUAAAAUAUAUUGAUAAACUCUGUUAUCUCUAUGAAAUUACUAUUUUGCCCUUUCAAAUAUACCCUUCUAUCAUCACCGACUUUUCUUAUUUGCCCUUAAGUUAAGAGUAUAAAAAGCAUUUUGCUUUUUAGUCUUUUCAAAUAUAUCCUUCUACCAUCACCAAUAUUUCUUAUUUCCCCCUAAAUUAAGGGAAAAAGUGGCAUUUUAAUUUUUUUUAACUGUGGUAGAUAUUUAACUCAUGUUUAACCCAAAUUAACUUAACGGAUGGUAAUUGCAAAGAUAUUUUGGAGUAACGGAGGAGCAAAUGAGGGUACAUUGGAAAAAAAAAAAAAAGUAGGAAUAAAUAAGAUAUUUCUGAAGUUUUAAAGGGCAUGUAGGAAAUUAUCCCUAAAAAAAAGAAAAAUACUCUUUUAAUGUUCCAAUUUCUUUCAAAUAUAUAGCCCUACAAUAGAUUCUGAUAGUGCAUUGUUACGAAAGUUGAUAUUUCUACAAAAUUACUAUUUUGCUUAUUCAAAUAUUUUUUUUUACUAUCAUUCAUUUUUCUUAGUUGUCCUUAAAAUGUCAAAUAUUUUGUUGUUUAUUCUC